rnacentral:lncRNA from 1 species
UUUUCAGGUUAAACAAACAGAGAUAAAUCUUGGUGAAACUAGAAGUAAUACAACCUGUUCUGUGGAGAUAAAAGAAAGGGCAGCAGUACUGGUGGCUGCAGAAAUUGAGGCAUGUAGAGACGAUAGAACCCCCAAGAUACCUCUUCAUGAGAAAGUCCAGAAAGAGUGGGCUUGUGCUGUAUGCCAGUUCACAACCCAAACUGAAGCGACCUUCAAUUCCCACCUUCAAGGGAAGAGACAUCAGGCCAUUUCUGAGCAGCUGAGAGCCAAAAACCAGGCAACCAAAACCAAUUGUUCCCCAUCUGCUUCAAUGGCCAAGAAAUCUGAUCAGUCCACCAAAGAGGAGCAACCAAAGUGUACUUCCAACAAUCUGAAUUCCAAAAACAAUGGAAUCUCAGCUGCUUCAACAGUGAAGAAACUUGAUGAGACCAAAGAUGAUGAGCAACAAAAGUCUGCAUCUAGCAAUGGACCAAACCAGAAGAAUAACAAAAAGCAAGAGGUACAGACCAAUGAGCAAGGCCAUCAGAAGAACUCAAGGCAAACUGGUGAUGGAAUGAAAGAGUUGAGAUCAUGGUGCAAUAUCUGUAAUGUAAGCUGCACAAGGGAGCUUGACCUGGCCUCUCAUCUCAAUGGAAGGAGGCACUUUGAUAGGAUAAAGCAGCUGUCUGAAUUAUGGUGCAGUAACUGCAAUGUAAGGUGCAACAGUGAGGUUGAUAUGGCCUCUCACCGAAAUGGGAGGAGGCACUUGGAGCAGCUGAAGGAACAGUUAGGAUUAUGGUGCAGUAUCUGUAGUGUGAGUUGCAACAGCAAGGUGGACAUGGAUUCUCACCUAAAUGGGAAGAGUCACUCGGAUCAGAUCAAGGACCAGUUAAGAUUAUGGUGUGGGGCAUGUAAUGUAACCUGCAAGAGUGAGCGCAACAUGGCCUUUCAUCUGAAUGGGAGGAAGCACUUAGAGAAGAAGGGGAAUACCUGAUUUGCUCUUCAGAUUAUUGAUACUUACAAAUGGUUUUAGUUAGAAGCAUACAGACCAGUGGGUGGUGCUCACAGAUGCCUCUAUUUUGUUGUAUGAAGUAAAAACAGUAUUUCCAUGUCCAGAAAUCAACCACUUGUUUAGUGCAUGCAUGGCUGGUUCAAAAUUAAACCUAAUUGUGAAUGACUAGGAGCAGGGAGGGAAAAAUUGAAGUGAAGAAUGUAAGAUUAUGGCUUCAUUUUUAUUUUUUCCUCUUCUGAAAAUUGUAAGAUUGUGUUAGGAGGAGCUGGAAUGGGUUCAAAUCAGGAAUUAAGACCCAGUUCCAAGACAUGGAAAGUGUCUUUAGAUUAUGUUAAGUUAUUUCCAUUUUUUUUUCUUUAUUUACGGUAAGAGGGAGCAUAAGGAACGAAAAUGAAUAUUUUUUUUUUUUCGAAUAAAAAUGAAUUUGAUAAUUUCAAUUAUUGUGUUUGGAUGUAUUUCGGAAUGUAAGAUUAAAAUAAUUAUUUGUUUUCAUUUUAGUGUUUGAUAAUAAUGAAAGUAUGAAUUAAAAAAUAAAUUGAUAAUAAUAUUCUUAUAUUUAAUUUAAAAUAUAUAUAUAUUUUUUAUUUUAGAAGAAUAUGGGUUAAAAGUUUUUUUUUUUUUUUAAAUAAUAAGCUUAAGAAAAAUAAUUUUUACUCAAUAAAUAAAAUUAAUCAUACAAAGUCAUAAAAACCAAACCAAAAUAUAAGGGUAAAAUAAUAAUUUUAAACUAUUCAUUUAAGUUAUCCAAAUGCAUUCCGACUCUUCAUUCUCUUAUACCAAAUACCGUCUUUAAGUAUUUGUCAAACUUAUUUUUUUGCAAAAUAUCAAUAUUUUACUAAUAUUUUUAUCGAUUAUUUGCCGAUAUUUAUCGCCACGUCACCAAUUCUUUGAGUUUGACUUUCAAAAUUUUGAAAUGAUCUUUGAAGUCCAGUUCAGCCCAAAUCACUACACCCAUGAACUCAUCUACAAAAGGGAACGGCUGGGCCACCACACUAAUAUGGCCCAUACAUGGGACCUCGUAAAAGAAUACCCAUCUUCAAAAAUAGGGACCAUAUUAAAUUAUUAAUGUAGCUAUAGGAAGCAUUUGAGGACAAGGGUUAUGAUUUUUCCCUUUUCUUUUUCUCCUUAAUUUUCACAUCACCCAACAACACCACUCUUAAUUCACACAAAUUUGAAGGUUUGGAAUGAGACUUCUUCAUAAUUAUAUUGUAAUUAUGUUAUAAUAACCAUGUCGUUUUUGGAUUUAUUUAUUCAGUCCAUCUAAAUCUUUUGUUUAUUCGCGUCAAAACAAUAUAUUUAUAAUCGAAUCCAUUUAUGACAUGUUCAUCUUUUAUAAAUUCAUUAAUUUUAUAUAUUUAAAAUUUAUAAAAGUUAAAUAUAUUUUUUCAAUUAUGAAUAUCAUAUUACUAAAAUAUUAAAUAACUAAUUAACUUGAAAUGUUUUAUAUUUCAUUAAUUAUUUUAUAAUUACAAAAUUAAGUGAAAUAAUAAAUAGGUUAAAAUAUAUAUUUUAUUUUAGUUAAAAAUUAUAAAUUGUUAUUGAGACACAUAACUACUAAAAUUCUACCCAUUUGACUAUCAAACAAACAACUUAAGUUUUUAGUCAUAAUUUAAGCUUAUGAUAAACUCUAUUUACAAAAAUUAGAAACCAAAAUCAAAUUCUUCCUAGACUCAAAAAUAUAAAGACAAUCUUUUAACUUUAGAAGAGAACUAUCAUCUAAGAUAAGGGUAACACAUCCCAUUGCCUGUACAACAAUUCUUGCUUCAAAAGCUAAUGUUAGGUACAUAUCCCUAUCAUUCAACCUUUCCCUUAGCUAAAACCCCUAUAAAGAAUUAUAAACAUGAUCAAUGGCUCCAAAAUUUAUCCACCAAGAGUUAGUGGAAUCUAAUACUAAACAUGAUUCAACUAAAAGAGAAUGAUGCAUACCUGACUGUCUCUUUAAGAACUAAGGGCAUUCCUUUUUCUAAUGGCCUUUUUUACCACAAAGGAAACAUUUGUCAUGACCCUUACUCUUCUUCUUCUUCUCUUGCCCUUGAACUUUCCCUUCUGUUUGGUGAAUUCUAUAAUGUUCUUAUUUUGGUUAGAAGAACCUAAAGAACACUUAACUGCCAUAUAAAUACCUCUCUGAUCCUUGAGAAUUCCCUCAAUCAUUUUGUGUUCUCUCAUCAGUUCGGUUAUAGUUUAAGAAAAAAAUUGUUUUUUUUAUGUGACUAAACUUGGAAUGAAUGUCCAAGUUGCAUACAUACUCGGGUUGAGAUCAAGUCAUAAUGUAGUUUAAGAAAAAUAUUUUUUAUUUUUUAUUUUUAUUUUUUAUCUGAUUGAACUUGGAAUGAAUUUCUAAGCUACUUACGUAUCCAGGAUGGGAUCAAGUUCUAACAUAGUCACAAUGCAGUUCAAGAAUUAUUUUUUUUUCUUUUUUUGUGCUCCAACUUUUGCCAAGACUAAAGAUCUUAAUUUUGCGAGCAUGUCCUAACUUUUGCCUAGGUCGCCUUUCCAAGUUUUCAAUUUAGCAAACUAGGUUUUUUUUUUUCUUUUUAGUUCUCUAACUUUUGCCAAGACUAAAGAUUUUAAUCUUGUAAGCAUGUCAUAACUUUUACAUAAGUCGAAUUUUUAGGUUUUCAUAGUGCUGGAUUUUUUUUUUGUUUUUUGUUUUUUUUUUGUGUCGUAGUCAAUUUAAGCUCAUAUGGGUUGGAAGCGAUGUGUAGUUUGUUGGGAUUGAGCCCUUAAAAGCAAGACAUGAUGUAAUAAAGUUAAACUUAACUAUCCCCUUACUAUCCUUUUGGUGUAUCAACAUUGAUUUAAACAUUCAACCCAUAUCUCUUACAUUGUAUAUGAUUUAGAAGCAUUAGGAGUUGUACAGAAGAUACAAGUUAUGUGUUCUUUGUAAGUAGGUGAGUUAUCCAUAGUCAUUUCAUGGAUUUGGGCAAUCUAGUAGAGACUAUAGUGCACCACCUCCUAAUUGAAGGGAUGACUUGUCUUGGCCGUUGGGAUGAGUUUCCUAUGGUGAGCGUACUAGUGUAUAUGAUGCACAUUGGAUAGGACCUAUGACAAAUCAUGAUGCAAGGCUAUCAAUUGUCAUGAUUCACCAAGUUACUAUACUACAUGGACUCUCAACCUUGAGAGGACAUUGAACCUGUGUCAAAAUCAAUAGAAAGUUUUGACCUAUGGGCGAGACCCUAAAGUAGUCAUAUAUCCUUAUGAAUUAGGUCAUUGUUGAUGGAGGCUAGUGAUAAUAGGCAUUCUCAAUAGAGGCACCAUGAUAUGUCAUGCGAUUGAGAUGGUGUGUCCCUUUGGGUGAUCCAAGGAACAUGUGAUCAUGAAAUUUGUGGCCACAGUAAUUCCUUUAGUGGAAUUUGACAUAUGCUCAAGGAUUUGAGAGAUAAUAUUGAUAGGUGAUAACACUAUCUUGUUAGAUUAUAGACACCAGUUUCAUGGGGAAUCUGCAUGUAGUGGAUAGUAGGUCAUGAAUGCGAGCUUUGUCUCGUUGUUAUUUACAUAAGGUACUGGAGUGUAGUUGAUUCUCUUUAGUAGAAUGUUAAAUCAACUUCAAAAUUGGAUUAUGAGGGAGCCAGUACUCCUAUGGGUCUCAAUGGUCCCCACUCUAAGCUUAUAUACCAUGAUGACAUAAUUUAUGAGGGUUGGAUUGGCUUUAGGUUCAUUCUUAUGCAUAAGGGCAUUUUGGUAAUUACUCAAGGUUGCAUAGGGGAUAAUAAAUAAGGUCUCUAGAUUGGACUAAUUGAUUAAUUAGAUGGCCUUAUGUGGUUAAUUAAUCAAUUAAGACAUGUUAGGGCUAGAUUAAGUGACUCAAGCCUUGAUGGGUUCAAGUCACUUAAGCCUAGUGGGUAACCGUAUAAAUACCCCCUUAUGGGUUAGGGUUUUCUAAUGACUUUUAGUUAGUCAUCUUCCACUUUUAGAAAAAUAGAGAGAGUCAAAGCUUCCUCCUUUCCACUGCCCACACUUUGGAAUGCCAAGAUCGUGGAUCGAGUCAUCGAACGAAAGAUCUUGGGUGUAUGAGACCUUCGAACUCUUUAGGCUUCUUCUUCGUUGGAUGGAUUUUGAUCUAGGAACAUCUAGAUCACAUGUAUGUGUUAUAAAAUUUGGUUAAUUCAACCUAAGGUAAUCAUCCUAGAGAAGGGGCGAAUAGGGUGAUGAUCUUUUUUUGAAAAUUUAAAUUAUGUGAAUGCAAGAGACAAUUAUAUGCAAAAUAUAUAGCAAAACCAUAUAAAAACAAUUGCAUAUAAAGUAAAAGGGUAAGGAAGAGAGAAAAUAAACACAAGAUUUUUAUAGCGAUUCAGUGCAACCCGACCUUCAUCCAUUCUCCUCUAGCUUCAAUCCCAAACUUGAGGUUCCACUAAUUUAAGGCUUCCAACCCAAGCCUUCAAGCAAUACAAUCGGAUUAUGGUUCCAAUCAAACCUCUUGAAAUUUUAGUUCUAAGCACAUUUUACAAUCUUCAAGAGAUACCUCACUCUUAAACAACUCCUUAAGUGAUACCCCACACUUGAGAAUCCCUAAGUGAUACCUCACACUUAGAUUUUUCAUCUCAAAGAUUUAUAAAUGAAGAUAGGAAAUUGUUAGCCCAAGGGCUCUCCUAAUCGGGUUUUGAUGAUAAAAAAUCAUGGUUAAAUGACUAAUUGGUUUAAUGGUUAAGAAUCUCAGGCAUAAACUUGAAAAUUCAUCAAAAGACCAAAUGGAUACAAGAUCGAGACGUUUGGAAGACUUGUGAUCAUAGGAAACUAAUGUAAGAUGAAUGCAUGAGUACACUUAGGAUUUUCAUACCGUUUCAUGCAAUUUAGAAAACUCGGUUUAUUCUUUAAAACUUCAAUUUCAUUAAAACUUGAGUUUUAACAAAUGUACCUUAGGCAAAAUGUUUUAAAAUUGGCAUAAUAAUUCACCUAAAAACCUUGCUUAAGUGUUAGAAAAGAAAGGAAUUGAAAAAUAUAGGUUUUCGGGGCCAAAAGGCUCAACCGAUCGAGGCUAUGACCAACCUGCUCAACCGGUUGGGGAAUCGGUCGACCGGUUGCCCCUGUCCGGUCGAGGUUCGAUAGAGGGAUGCACAAAAUUUUCUUUCUCUCCCAGUAGCCUUCUCUUCUCGGUCGAGGUCUGGUUGAGGACCGAUCAAGGUUCGAUCGAGGCAACGGUAACCUGUCAAGCAUUAAAUGUUCCAACGGCUAGUGAACCGGUCAACCCCUAGCUCGACCAGUUGAGGUUACCUUUUGCUGUUUUUGGCUCCCGAGCUUAGAAACCUAUAAAUUGAGAGCUCCACUUUAUUUAUUGACGAGAGAACACUUGCAAUCAAUUGUCUACCUACCUGUUCUUGAUCAAAAAACUCUCAUUUCUUUCUUUGUGCAUUAAAUCAUCACUUGCAUAUCCUUUAGUGCACUCUUAUGUGUCAUCCUAGCUUUGUCUUAUAUUUGAGCUAUCCUUAAGCUAGGUUGAGGGAUUCAUUCUUGUAAAAACUGAGUGUCAAAGCCUUCAAGAGGUUUAAAUCUUGAAGAGAUUGUGUAAGAGCCCAUUGGAGCCAGAAUCCAAGUGUAAGAAGAUUGGAAGCUUGGUUGAAGCUUCAAGUUAGUGGAACCCUCACUCGGUUAAAAGAUUGAGGAGAGUGGAUGUAGGGAAGGAAGUGUCGAACCACUAUAAAACCCAAGUUUGAAUUCUCUAACUCUAUCUCUUUAUUUUGCUUAUAUUGUGCUUGAACUCGUUGUGAUUGAAAAGAAUUUAAAAAACCCAAUUCAUCUCCCUCCCCCCUUUUAGGUGUUUUUCUUAAUUAAGCAUAGCAUUUAUUUUCUCAAUUGGUAUCAGAACUAGACCUCUUGUUUUUUUUUUUUUUUUAAAAAAAAAAAUUAAUCGUCUAAGAGGAUAUGACUAUUGCAUCAAGCUCAUCUCAAGCUAAAAUUUUUUCAAAACAUAGAGCUUCAUUCUUUACGGGAUCCGACUAUCCCUAUUGGAAAACUAGAAUGACUUGGUACUUACAAUCUACUGAUUUAGAUGUAUGAGACGUCAUUGAAGAUGGCCUAACUUUUCCCACUAAACUAGUUGAUGGAGUUUUGGUUCCAAAACCCAAGCAAGAAUGGAAUGAGCUUGAUAGAAAAAACUUUCAAUUAAAUGCUAAAGUCGUUUUUACUUUGCAAUGUGCUAUGGAUAGAAAUGAAUAUAAUAGAAUAUGUCAAUGCAAAUCGGCUAAAGAAAUUUAGAGGUUGCUUGAAAUAACUCAUGAAGGAACUAAUCAAGUGAAAGAGUCAAAAAUUAAUUUACUUGUUCAUAACUAUGAAUUGUUUUCAAUGAAAAAAAAUGAUACUAUUGUUGAGAUGAUUACUAGGUUCACCGACAUUGUCAAUGGUCUUGAAGCUUUGGGAAAAACCUACAAGGAAUCCGAGAAGGUGAUGAAGAUAUUGAGGUCUUUCCCAUCAAAGUGGCAUACCAAGGUCACUGCAAUUCAAGGAGCAAAAGACUUGACUAAGCUACCUAUGGAAGAGCUCAUAGGGUCAUUAAUGACAUAUGAGAUCAAUUUGACAAAGAAGCUACAAGAGGGUAAAGACAAAAAGAAGAAGAACAUAACCCUCAAAGCUAUAACCAAGGAAGAAGAAGAUGUUGAAGAAGAAAAACCAAGUGAUGAAGAUGAUGAUUUAGCCCUCAUCACAAGAAAGCUCAACAAAUACAUGAGAGGUGAAAGGUUUAGAGGAAGAAAGUUCACCUCUAGAAGAGAUCCUUCUAAAAAGGAAUCUUCAUCCCAUGGUGACAAGGAGAAAUGAGAAGAUAAAAGAGAUUUGAUAUGCUUCAAAUGCAAAAAACUGGGACACAUUAAAUAUGAUUGUCCACUCUACAAGAGUGAAGCCAAGAGAAGAAUGAAGAAGGCAAUGAUGGCCACUUGGAGCGAAAGUGAAGAAUCCUCCGAAGAAAAAAAGGAGAAGGAAGUAACAAACAUGUGCUUCAUGGCAAUAGAUGAUCUUGAUGAGGUAAACUCUAACUUUAGUGAUGAAGAUAUGUAUGAUGUUUUUGAAGAAUUAUAUGAGGAUUUUGAAAAACUUAGUUUGAAAAAUAAUUCUCUUAAAAAUAAAAUUCAAGAACUUGAAAAAGAACUUGAAGAAGUAAAAGAAAAAGUUUCAAUUGUUGAAAUAUCUAAAACUCAUCUUGAAAAAGAAAAUAAGAUUUUGAGAAGUGAAAAUGAGAUUUUGAAAAAGAAAAAUGAAUGGUUGACCUCCUCUCUUUCAAUUUUCUCUUGUGGAAAAAAAUAUUUUGAAAUGAUCUUAGUUAGCCAAAAAUGUAUUUUUGACAAACAAGGGUUAGGAUUCAAAUCUUCAAAAAAUCAAAAGUAUUUUAAAAACUACUUUGUAAAAGAAUCCGCAAGUGUAAGUCAUUCUACCACUUGCAACUUUUGUAGAAGAGGAGGAGACAUUAGUAGUACAUGUCUCUUAAGAAAUGGUUCUCAAAAGAAUUCAAAUGCUAAAGCUAAAAAGGUUUGGGUUGAGAAAUCCAAAGUCACUAACCCUCAAGGACCCAAAAAGAUAUUGGUACCUAAAUCAACUUAAAUUUUAUUUUGUAGGGUUCAAAGAAGGAUAAGUGGUUCUUGGAUAGUGGAUGCUCAAGACACAUGACCGGGGAUGAAUCCAAGUUUGUUUUCCUUACAAAGAGAAAGGGAGGAUAGGUUACCUUUGGAGACAAUGCAAAAGGAAGGAUCAUUGGUCAAGGCAACAUUGGUAAUGACACAUCCUCUCUUAUUGAAAGUGUUUUAUUAGUGGAUGGUUUAAAACAUAAUCUUUUGAACAUAAUUUAACUUUGUGACAAAGGUUUUAAAGUGAUUUUUGAAGCAUUUCAUUGCAUUAUCAAAGAUAUUCAAAAUGAUAAAACCAUCUUCAUGGGCCAUAGAUGUGAUAAUUUUUAUGCUAUAAAUAUUUCAAAUAUGAUGGCCAUGGUAAAUGUUUUUCAAGCAUGCAUGAUCAAAGUUGGUUGUAGCAUAGGAGGUUGGGACAUGCUAACAUGGACCUCAUUUCCCAACUCAACAAAGAAGCACUUGUUAGAGGCCUUCCCAAAAGAAAUUUUCAAAAAGACAAAGUUUGUGAAGCUUGUCAAAUGAGAAAGCAAAUCAAAAACUCUUUUAAAAACAAAAAUUUCAUUUCAAUAACUAGGCCUGCAUAUGGAUUUAUUUGGUCCCUCUAGGACACCAAACCUUGGAGGAAAAUCUUAUGCAUUUGUUAUUGUGGAUGACUUCUCUAGAUACACUUGGGUCUUAUUUUUAAGUCAAAAGAAUGAAGUCUUUUUUGAGUUUUCAAAGUUUUGCAACAAGGUUCAAAAUGAAAAAGGUUUUACAAUUUCUUGUAUAAGAAGUGAUCAUGGAGGAGAGUUUGAAAAUAUUGAUUUUGAAGACUAUUGCAAUGAGCAUGGUAUUAACCACAAAUUUUUGGCUCCUAGAACUCCUCAACAAAAUGGGGUAGUUGAAAGGAAAAAUAGAACUCUUCAAGAAAUGGCUAGAACCAUGCUAAAUGAAAACAAUUUACCAAAAUACUUUUGGGCCGAAGCAAUUAACACUUCUUGUUAUGUUUUAAAUAGAAUUUUAUUGAGGCCUAUUCUUAAAAAAACUCCCUAUAAGCUUCGGAAAAACAAGAAACCCAACAUUAGCUAUUUCAAAGUCUUUGGGUGCAAAUGCUUUAUAUUAAAAACCAAAGACAAUCUUGAAAAUUUUGAUGCAAAAUCGGAUGUUGGAAUUUUUCUUGGUUACUCAACUUUAAGUAAAGCCUUUAGAGUUUUUAACAAAAGAACCAUGGUUGUUGAGGAGUCCAUCCAUGUUAUUUUUUAUGAAUCUGACAAUUCUCUCCAAGAAAGAGAGAGCUUUGAUGAUGAUUUAGGCUUGGAGACCUCCAUGGGAAAAUUACAAAUUGAAGAUAGAAGGCAACAAGAAGAAGUUGUAGAGGAUCCCAAGAAAGAAGAAUCACCUUUGGCACUACCUCCUCCUCAACAAGUGCAAAGUGAAUCAAGCUAAAACCUUCCUAAAGAUUAGAAGUUUGUCAUCAACCACCCACAAAAUCAAAUUAUAGGUAAUCCAUCUAGUGGGGUAAGAACUAGAUCAUCUCUUAGAAACAUUUGCAAUAAUCUUGCUUUUAUCUCUCAAAUUGAACCUAAAAAUAUAAAUGAUACUCUAGUUGACGAAAAUUGGAUGAUUGCUAUGCAAGAAGAGUUAAAUCAAUUUGAAAGAAGUGAAGUAUGGGAAUUAGUGCCAAGACCUCAAAAUCAAAGUGUUAUUGGAACUAGAUGGGUCUUUAGAAAUAAAAUGGAUGAAAAUGGCAUAAUUAUAAGGAAUAAAGUAAGAUUGGUAGCCCAAGGUUUUAAUCAAGAAGAAGGGAUAGAUUAUGAAGAAACCUUUGCUCUCGUAGCUAGAUUGGAAGCCAUUAGGAUGCUACUUGCCUUUGCACGUUUUAAAGACUUUCUUUUAUAUCAAAUGGAUGUGAAAAGUGCUUUCUUAAAUGGCUUUAUAAAUGAAGAGGUAUAUGUUGAACAACCACCCGGUUUUCAAAGUUUUAACUUUCCUAAUCAUGUUUUUAAACUUAAAAAUGCACUUUAUGGUUUGAAACAAGCACUUAGAGCAUGGUAUGAAAGAUUGAGUAAAUUUCUUUUGAAAAAGGGUUUUAAAAUGGGAAAAAUUGACACAACUCUUUUCAUAAAAAUAAAGAAAAUGACAUGCUCUUAGUGCAAAUAUAUGUUGAUGAUAUCAUUUUUGGAGCUACUAAUGUCUCUCUUUGUGAAGAAUUUUCUAAAUGCAUGCAUAGUGAGUUCGAAAUGAGCAUGAUGAGAAAACUUAACUUCUUCCUUGGACUUCAAAUCAAGCAACUAAAGGAAGGAACCUUCAUCAAUCAAGCAAAGUAUAUAAGAGAUCUCCUCAAAAGGUUCAAUAUGGAGGAAGCGAAAACAAUGAAGACUCCAAUGAGUUCAUCCAUCAAGCUUGACAAGGAUGAGAAAGGUAAGUCCGUUAACUCAACUAUGUAUAAAGGCAUGAUAGGUUUUUUGCUAUAUUUGACCGCUAGUAGACCUGACAUCAUGUAUAGUGUAUGCUCGUGCGCUAGAUUUCAAUCUUGUCCUAAAGAAUCUCACUUAAGUGCCGUAAAAUGAAUUCUUAGAUAUUUAAAAGAGACAAUGGACAUAGGCCUAUGGUAUCCUAAGAGUGAUAACUUUGAAUUAAUUGGAUUCUUAGAUGCCAACUUUGCCAAUUGUAAAGUUGAAAGGAAAAGCACUAGUGGCACUUGUCAUUUCCUAGGACACUCACUUGUUUCAUGGCAUAGUAAUAAGCAAAAUUCGGUAGCCUUGUCAAAGGCGGAAGCAGAAUACAUAGCAGCUGGUUUAUGUUGUGCACAAAUCCUUUGGAUGAAACAAACACUUAGUGAUUUCAAUUUGAUUUUUGAGCAUGUUCCUAUUAAACGUGAUAACAUUAGUGCCAUAAAUAUUUCAAAAAAUUUGAUGCAACACUCUAGGACUAAGCAUAUAGAGAUUAGACACCAUUUUCUUAGAAAUCAUUUACAAAAAGGUGACAUUACACUUGAAUUUGUAAGCACAAAAGAUCAACUUGCCGAUAUUUUUACAAAACCUCUAAGUGAAGAGCAAUUUUUUUAUAUUAGAAGACAACUAGGGGUGAUUUCUUUAUAAUCAAAUGAUUACUUGAUGAAUUCUUGAUUGAAUAUACCUUAUGAUUGCGUGAAUUUCACAUCAUAUGCAUCAUAUAGAAAUAAUCUUAGGAAAAAGGUCAAAUUUUGACCAAAAAUCAAAAUUCCCUUGGCAUUGGAUAUCAAAAAUUGGGGAUUUCAACUGAAAAGGGCAAGGGAAGGAUCACGAGACAAGCAAAAGCCAAAAAAUUAGAGCGUUGACCAUUGACCAUUGACCAUUGACCAAGCGGUUCGUCGGGGCUGGGAAUUUAAAGAGACCCCCGCGCUUUAUUUUUUUCACUAUUCCCCUCAAUUCCUUGAAAACUCUUCACAUACCUGCUUCCAGAGACCACUUUGGGUUGAAUCUUGGACCAUUUGAAGGGCUUGGAGUUGUUUUUGGGACGUUUUUAAGACUAGGGUUUCAAUCUGAAACCUAAGGUUUCCAUUUUUAGGAGCAAUUCCUCUCAGACCACGUGCAUCAGCCAGGCUCAACUCCUUCUCCUUGCGCUUAGGGCUUCCGGUUGGAUUUCAUUCUCUCUUGUUUGGUUUCAUUCUCUCUUCAAACUUCUUUUUCUUCAUUUUCCGUUCUUUGGAUGGCGCCUAGGAGAGAGACAACUACCUCUAGGGCUCAGGGCAAGCGCCCUGCUGAGCCAUCUCAACCUGAGCAGAUGGAGGCUCACCGAAAGGCGAGGUAUGACACGACCCUCUGUGGACCCGCAUUUUUCACGUGCGUCCCCACUCGAUCGGCGAGACUCGCUUUUUAUUUGUGAAAAAUUGAUCUUUAAAAAAAAAAAAGUUGGAGUCGCCACCUAUUUUAUUUUUAUUUUGAAGGGAAAAUAAAACAAGAAAGAAAAACCCUAAAAAGUGACUCCAUGGUUUUGGAAAAAGCAUGUCUUUGAGAAACCCGAGUCUAAGUCCGGGGAUCAGGUUACUUAUUGGGAAGGUACCUCUAGGAGGUAGCACCCCUCUAAGCCCUAAAAAGGUCUCUACUGACUAAGUUAAGGGAAGCGUGGCAAUUAAAUGGUUGAUCAUGGAUACCUAAGUAGGCUAGGUGAUUCCAAAAACAUAACAUAUCAAACAAGAUCAAAUCACAAUUAAGGAGAGUUAAAAAUGCGUACCUGGACGGCUUCCCAAACGCUAUCAUAAAACAUAAGAGAUUAGUUUGGAGAUACAUCACACAACAUUUGUUUUACUCAAGCAAAUCAGGCAUAUAUCAAGACAUUCAAGAAUCACGUCAAAUAUGGAUAUGGUCAUCAAUGACAUACAAGUCCAUAGAAUUCUCGAAAAAAGGAUGAAAAUGAGCGUACCUGGAUAGCAAGCUAGAGCGCCUUUAUGGGAAACAAGGUUAACCCAAUAACAAAUUCAAGCAUAUCUCCAAGAAGAAUCAAAAUCAAUUGAAUACCAAAAAAUCAUCUUUAAAAUCAAUAUUAGUGAAGAUAUUAGGAAUGUAGGACCCCCCACCAAAGUCCAUAUUACUUUUGCACGAAUUGAUUCAAUGAAUUCCAUUAUUUGGAAUCGUGAAGCUUAUUCAUGCUUGUCAAAAAUCGAGAAAAUCAUAAAAUAGUUGAAGAUGAUGAAAAUGCAUGCCGGAAGGGAAAAUGGCAGCAAAUAGUAUGUUAAAAUUUGGAUUUUAUGCCUAGAGACUUCUCAGGAAUUUUAAAUAAAACUAGAAUUAUUUUUUACGGGAAAAGAUUUUGAAAUCCAGAUUUAAAAUGUGUAAGAUAACAAAAAGAAUAAGGAGAAACAUUAGGAGUAUGGUGUGUGGCAAGGUGACCACUAUAUGAGUGAGGUCUGGAGGUGCACUUGAGACUAAAUGGUUGAAACAGAUUGCAUAGGGAGCAUUCUGUACACCACUAGUUGUCUAGAAAGAAACUGAAUGUGUUCGUUUCCGAGCCCAUGUUCACCGGAGUUUAGGGUGCCACCUCAUUUAAAAAAAAGGGCUUCAAUACAACUCUAGUUUCUCAAGAUCACAAUCUGAAUUAUCAACAGAAGCUUCUGGUGAAGACAUAAUGCUCAAUUUCAGAUUAAAUUUCCUGUUCUAUAACUCGUUUUCUCUGAAUUUUCCUUUAAUGUCUGUGCUUUCUGAUCAUAUAAGUUGCCCGUCUGGUUCCUUGUUUGAGACUCUGCCGAACCUGGAAUAAUGCUUCUAGGUCUAGCUGAGGGGACCUACACCCCUUUUCAUGGAACCUGAGGCAUGCGUUAAUUCGAAACUCUAUUACUUUGCCUUCCAUUGCUUUAAGUCUUUUAGCCAUCUCAGCCACAAAUCUGGAGAUUCAUUUAUCUUUCUUUAAUAUUCAAGCCAAAUGUCAAUCCAGUCCGCUUAAACCCCGAUUUGAAUGAUUUUGAACCCUCUUUUUGCGCUCUUGAUGUUUUUCAUUUCAACUACAAUGACAAACCACCCUUCGAAAAAAGAAGAAAUCUGGACCAAAUCCUAAACUUUUAAUUCACAACUUCUUGAGCCUGACUCUGAGUCGACACAAUUGAAUCACCUUGGAUAAGAGUGCUUCUAAAAAUCCUCCAGAAUGUAGGCACAAGUGCAGCGUUCGUUAAUAAUGUCCAUGGCAUGUCACAAAGGAAAGCUUCUUUUUUUAUAAUCAUCAACGCAAAUUGACUCUUAAUGGACCCCAUUGCCAGCGUCACAUCAAAGACUGGACAGAUAGGGAGAUUCACAAUUUCGAUAGCUAUCUUUGCAUUAUUUGGGCAGGGCAACCAUGUUAUGGAUAUAUAGCUCGAAGGUGACUUGCGUUUUGUUCUGUAUCAUCAGUAGCAGCCUCAAACCCGCCAUAGGUUUGAGUGGUAUUAAAAGACUCAACAUGAUCAGCUGUAGGUGAUCGAGCAGCCAAUUCAUCAUUGAGCAAAUCAAUAAAAGCUUGGAUAUCGUUGCCGAGUGGCCUAAAAUCAUUAGAUAAAUCAUUAAAGUCAUUAAGUAUAUUACUGAUCUCCAUGAAAACCCUCCUCCUUGCUUCUGUAGAGCGAACACAAGCUGCCACUAAAAUUGGUUAGCCCGGAUUGCUAAUUUAUGCAUCCAAUCACCAUCGAUUUCUCUUGUCCUUUUUGGAACUUCUGGAAUAUGGAUGAAACCUGUGAAGAAUGUGGUGGAAUUGCGGUCUGCAAGCACGAAGUUUCCAGUUACUUGAAAUGCUUCGAAAUCAUGGUUCCAGUUUACAUCUACAGGCAUUGGCUCAAGUAAGUUCGUAUCAGCUUGGGUGGCUUUCGAUUCCAAAAGCUCUAACAACAACAUGAUUCUCAAAUAUCCGAACAGCAAUGUCCAAAAUUGAAUCAAGAAAAUUCUUUAGCAGCAGUAUGUGUUGUCCCUGCUGGAGCCAUCACAGGAGCAACUAAGCUAACUGCCAAAAAGGUUCUAGCCAGUGAGAUCCCAUUCUGACGUUUCGGUUUUGGUGACUGAUAGCUUUCUAAUUGUCCCUGCAAAUAAUGUAAACCAAUAGUUCCAUUGAAUGGAUUGUCAUCCAGAGCAAGGAUCCGAAUACUUGUAAGGCCAUCAACGAAAUCAGCGAGGGUGGUGUCGACUUCGUUGUAAUCGAAGAAGGCGAGUUGCAAUUCAGACAAUCUGCGAGAAGAAGGCAAUUUUCCAUUGAAGUGGUUCAUCUGAAACCCCAAAUUGCAGAGCAUUGAAAGCUGGUUGAAGUUUUGAGGGAGAGGUCCCUUUAAUCCCAAUCCCUUAACUUGAAUCUGUGUAACUCUGUCACCACUAUAAAAUACACGAGGCCACAAAUUUGACUCCACCCGUUGGCUCCUUUCCUUCAUUCAUUCGCUUUAACAAGUCACAUUUAAUUCCAAAGAAUAUUAUAUAAUCUUCAAGUAUGUUCAAAUCAGAGGGCUCUAGUCCGUUAACCUUUACACUCUCUAGCAGGUUCUGUUCUUGUCUCUUCCUAUUAUACAGAAGUUCAAGCAAGUUUCAUAAAGCCUGAAUUUCUACACGUAGCCACUACUGGGGUCAGGUUUAUCCAAGUGUGCUGCUCCAACAGAAUUAUCGAUGUGUCAGUUUCUCUAAAAAUCACCUUGUGAAUCAAUCCACAAUACCGAGGCAUCCCAUCAUCAGAACUUCCUAAGCUUUCAGCAAGUAGGCAAGCAUUUAUGCUUGAGUCAACUCUACCGAUGACAACAAACCCAUCCAAAUCAAACUUCAUAGCUGUUUCUUCUUUUCCAUUAAUAUCAACUGGUAUCCUUUCUAAAAGAAUGCUUUUCUUAUGACGACAUGACAGUAAAACCCUUUUGCGAGAAUGGCUCAGAGUUUUGAUCAUCAUCUGAUUCUAUUGUAUUACUGGAAUGAUUGCUUUGGUAAAUGGAAUUCAACAGAAUCCACACAUUCAUGACUCUAAAAUUCAGCUUACUAGCAACCAGAUGGAACACACAUUUUCUGGUUCAGGCAUUCGUUUCUGGUCAGAUUCAUGGUAUCUUAGCGGUGCAACAGACGAUGCAGCAACCUCUUCUAGAGUGCCUUUUAUGAGCCUCAAGAGCAAAGGCCAAUGAUAGAUGAAGCGGUCCCUCUGCACUACUUGGGCUUCUGAUUCAGAAGUUAUCAUGAAGCCAACGAACAAGCAGAGUGAACGCAUUUGCAGUCAACCUUAAAAUUUCUAAUAUUGUCAGCAGGCCUGAUGGUAAAAAAACGAAAGUAGGGGAGCCUUAUUCAAGAGGAUCAUUGCGAACACUGUCACGUGUUAUUGGUGAGCUUGUUGGCAUCUUGUUUUGGGCAGAAUAAUGAGAUCCUUCAGUUAAUUAGAGAUCCAUAUCAACUAAACACCAGAAUCAUGGAUUUCCCAUGCUUUCUACUGGACAACGAUUGUCAGUUCUUUCUCUUGUUCACUUCUACUGGCAGUGGCUUGACUCUCCAACAAAACCCCUGAUGCACCCUGUAGCUCCUCAUUUAAUUCUGGAUUCUUAUCAGCAUCGCUUUCUUCUCCCUUUUGAGACUCUUGGAGUAUGAAAAAGAAAACUUGUGAAGAAUAAGGUGGAAUAUCCCAGCAAUGCAGUAUGGUAGGACCCAUUUGAGGGGGAACCCUGCAUUCAUCACUCUCACCUCCAGUAGCAUUAGAUGCUUGCUGGACCCAAUUCAGCCAGUCUCUGCAUAUUGACUCUCAAUAUAAACGUUUAGAAAUAACAAUGACUUCAUUUCUACUGCCUUGUUUAGACCUUCCUUGAUCAAUGUCUACCUUCAUUUCUCACAAAUUCUGGUUCUACUAUUAAAGUUCUGCCCCCAGUCCGUUUUGCAAAGCAUAAGCUAAUUUUAUAUUUGUAUAAUUCCAUCUUAACACACAAGUCCGUCGUAGCCUUUCCUGAGAAGUUAGAGAAGUUGCUUUUCUGAUAUAAAAAAGCCUUUCAGAACCAUGCUGAAGCUCUGAAUGUUGAUAGUUUUCCAUUGCAACUGAUAUGAGCUCCUCAUCGGUAGUGUCACAAGAAUGAUUCCAUGAGAAGUUUCUUGUUGCAUCACCUUUUUUAUGUAUUCCAACCCCAACUGUUGAGUUUCUUGAAAUUGAAACUACGGAACUUAGUUAUUUUGAAUUGUUUGCAUCUGUAGUGAUAAAUCACUGGAAGAGACAAUCAUAAUUUAGGCACUUGAUUUCCGUUUCGGUCGAACUAACAGCUUCGUAACUGUUAAUCUCAAGGUCAGAUUCAUGCUCUUGUUUCUCAAUUUCCUCUUCCCAUGAGAAUUUUUUUCAUAACAAUCGAAUGAAUUCUUAUAACUCCCAAAAGUUUCUAGCUUUUGCUGAUCAUGGAGGUGCCUCACAAUACUUGUCAUUAUACUCACUUUGGAAUUUUUCUGGUCCAUGUUCACUUUGAAUGAAUGUAUCCCUAAAGGGGGUAUUCAAUGACUGCCCAUAAUGAGUUACAAGUUCCCCAAAAUAGAAUAUAAUGAUCGUCGGCCUUACAGUACUGCUGUUUUAAAAUUUUCUGCUCGCUGAACAGUCAUAGUUCAAACCAUCAAUAUCAAAAGGCUUUCCCAGGCACUCAUCUUCAGAACCAUAAGGCCAGCAAGUCUGCAACCGUUUGAGUUGGGUAAAAAAGAAAGUCCUAAGCAGUGGAAGUGCACAGCAUGAUGCUGUCAAGUUUCAAUAACUUAAAUAUUGGCCAACUUAAGCCAGACCAUAUUCCUCAAAAAUCCAUUCUUCCUCUGCUCAUGUAAACUUGUAAUGCUGUCAGAAAUCCUGUCUUCAGAAUAGCAACCCUGACAAUUGAGUAUGGAAAGCAGAAUACCCAUGUGCUUCCAACUAAGCUUUUUACAACCAUCCUCAUAAACUGAGGCGUGCCAUUCUAAAGAAAAGGCAGAGUCUUUUAGAAAUCACAAUACUUCUGAAGCAGCUUGAAUUAGCAUAUUGCAGUAAUUGGAAGUCGGAUUGACUGAAACAGGGGCUCGAACGCAUCCAUCUGUAAAUCUUACAGACCGACCACCCUCAGAGAAAAGGUCUCCAAAAAAAAGGCUUCAGCUUCAUGACAAACAGCAUUCUCUGUUUCAGAGUUGCAACUGCCCCUGUUAUACUACUCCUGUGCACUUCAGCAUUUAUUCUUUAGUUAUACCGUCCCUUUAGAUAGCAUCUAUCCCACACCGUGAAGCAAGCAAGGUUCACUAUAAUAGGAUCUAGUAGCAGCAACAAACGGGUGAUCCUGGAGAUAUUUUAAACUCAACUUCAUCAACAUCUUCAGCGUGCACUUCUGUUGGAACACAAGCGAUAGUAGCAGUGAAAAAAAAAGUGUUGUACUGAUCCCGUUAGGAUUGCAGCCCAGAAUACCACGAACAGAGAGCCCCAAAAAUUGAAGCAACUCUGCAUCCAACUAAAUCACAUCUAGAACCCGGUUUAACGACUUUCUUGUCUUGAAGAGGAAAUACCCAAUCUGACUCAACAAUCUGUUAUCAUGUGCCAAACCCCACAAACAGCCCACAUUCUACGCAGCCUUUAUAAAGUCUCUACCUUUCAUGAAAUACUCAUGCCAUCAUUGUCUCCAUAGCCCAGAACACCAAAGUAAAGAAGAGGAAGAAGCGUAGAUAUAGAAGCACAAAAAAAGAAACCGAACAAAGAAAGAAAAAAAAAAAAAAAAAACGAAAACAGGGGAAUGGAAGGCAAUGGGUGGGAAAUCUGAAUAAGUCACAUUUCAUUAUUUUCAAAAGGGCUUUGAAGAAUCUGAACACAUUAGGACAAGCUUAGUUAAAAUUAUAUCAGGAUUCCACAAACAUUAAAAUUCAAACAUAAGUCUCUGUUUCAGCUAUUUAUAAAAAGAAUCAAAGAAAUCAAGAACACAAUCAUAAUAGAGCAAGUUUGAAGGAAAUUUCGAUUCAACAACGCAAAUAAAUGGCCCUCAAUGUCCACUCCAAUCAGCAAGAACAACUUCCCGAAAACAGCCAGAGAAUCUCAAGUGAAUGUAAACGGGAAUACCAAAAUAAUAAAAAAAAUAACAGGAAGCGUACCUGGCAGAACCUUGGCUGCAAUCUCCCUCUCUUUCUGCUCUUCUCUCCGCACUUUUUCUUCAAGAUCUCUCUUUUUCUCCUUUUUCUCCUUUCUUUCUUUUCUUUCCUUCUUCCUUUUCUUUCCUUCUCCCUCUCAAGCCCAAAAAUCCUAUCUCUCCCUCCGGAUCUCUCCAAAAAAAAAUCCCCAUGCGUGCUGCCAGUCCCACUUUUCAAAAAGAAAACAUCUUGCUGAAAAGGAAAAUCCUACUUCCUUUUCUCCUUUCUUUCCUUUCUUUCUUUUCUUUCCUUCUUCCUUUUCUUUCCUUCUUGUAGCCGAUCCCCACAUGGAAGAAGUAUAUGUGCUGUCCCUCUAAAAAUCAAAAUCUCCUCUUUUCAAAAUUCCGUUGAUUUUCCUUCCAAAUAAAUGGCGGUUCGUUUCCUCAUGCCCAAAAAAUAAAUAAAAUAAAAAAAUAAAAAUAAAAAAAAUAAAAAAUAAAAAAUUAAAAAAAUUAAAAACAAAAAUAAAAAAAAAUCAAUCACAUGCAAGCCAUACGAGCUAUGUAACCACCAAAGGAAUAUGAGUUAUGCAACCAUGCAAAAACACGAGCCAUGCAACCAUGCAAACCAUGCAAAAACAUCUAAAGGUGACCUAGGGUGUGUCCUAGUGCGCUAGGGCAAACGAAAUGGACUAAGUGUGCUUAAAAGCUAUCCUAAAAAAAAGAAAAGCCUACGACUAAGUUAGGGCUGCCAAGGGUCACAAUAAGGGAUCAAAUAAUCCCUCAACCAAAAUCUCCGAGGUGACUCAGAAAAAGGUUAGUGGUAUGAGUAGCCAUGGGCCACCAAGGAACUAUGGGGCACUGAAAACGAAUUUAAAGACAUGUGCUAAAGGGACAAAAUUGAGGGUCUACACCCUCUUCAGUUCUGUUGAAGAUUAUCAAAGAUACAAGCAAAAAUUCUCCCAGAGGAAACUAGGGAGAAAUAUCAAUUUCUCCCAACUUUAGUACUUCGGGUUUGAGGGACUCUUUAGUCGGAUGGGAUAACUGCCAGUUGUGAUGAUUUUCGAGCCGAUCUUCCUGACUCUGGUGCGGGCAUUUUAUUCAUAGGUGACUUAUGGACUUGGAGGACCAGUCAUGUCCACUAUUAGAGGUGUUGAGAUCAGACUGAGCCCGGAGAGCAUUUUCCGCAUUCUCGACAUUCCUUUAGUUGGACUCCGGGUGUAUGAGUCCAAGGUUUGGCCCACUGUGCCGGGAUUCGAGCCUAGAGAGGCUAUUCAGAGGCUGUGCGGACUUGUAGAUGCUGAGGGGAUGGACAAACCAUCGGCACAUAGCCUGACCGUGACCAGCCAAGUCCUUCAUCACAUGAUUUGCUCCUAUUGCCACAAGGCGGGUAUCGAGAUGAGAUUUCCUACCUGGAUGCUUUCAUAGUGGACACCAUUCUAAUGGGGAGAUGGAUUCAUGUAGGGUAUUUGAUGAUGAUGCAUAUGAUAUCCUACUAUGAGAGCACGACCCGAGUACUCCCCUACAGACGCUUCCUCACUCGAGUAUUCAAGGAUGUCGGGGUCGAUUUGAGUAGAGAGACGAACUUCGAGGCCCUUACUAGCUAUGAUACUUACGAUGAGCAGUCCUUGGAGCGGAUAAAGUUUGAGAAGGCCCUCGAUGGCUCCUGGAUUAGGAGAGUUGAGCGAGCUCCAGCAUAGGCCCGGGGACAAGGAUAGAUGCAUCCCGGAGUAGAGGAGGAGGCUGAGAUCAAAGAGAUGGAGGAUGGGUUAGACCCAAGGAUUGAAAUAUCGAUAAAUAUGGAUAUAUCGGUACUUGGAUUUUACGGAUAUAUCGGAAAUAUCGGAGAAAUAUCAAUGGAUAUUUUUCAUCAAAUAUCGGUGAGACAAAAAUUAUCCAAAAUUGAUGGGAAUGCUUAGAAAAAUCCAAAGAAUGAUAAAAUAAGCAAGAAUAUACAUGUUAAAGUUAUUUUAUGAGUGUAAUUGACAUAAAUAUGGUAUAAAAAAAAUAUAUAUCGGUAAACAGUUUACGAUACUUGGAUUUUAAGAAAAGAAAAUAUGAAAUUUGGAAUUGUACACUUAAAAAGUUAGAAUUGAGUUAAGAAAUAUUUGAUUUUAUUAAAUGAAAAAAAUUUACACAUAAACAUAAUACAUAUGACAUUGCAAUGGUCCUUAAUACCAAAAUGAAGAUCGAUGUGGUUCCAUCAUAUUGUUAUUGUUAGAUGAAGGGAGCCCAUCUUGUUGAAGACAAUAUUCAUACCAGGACAUGGAGUUUCGAUAGUAUUGAUUGUAUGUACUAACAUGCCAUGCAUAAAUUUCUUGAGUCCUACCGACAACCUGUCCAUGGAUGGGAAAUCCAGGGUUUUCCCAUGUGCUCGUUUGAAAUCCUUGUUGUUGCAGCUGAUGUAGAAGGUAGUAUGGAAUUUGUGUGGAAGAAUGAUAGUUAUACCUUUCAUACUCUUCAUCAGUGGAACUUGAAAGAUUUUGAGGAGGCUGACCAUAACUCAUUGCAUAAGGGGCAUAAAUGUUGGCUUCAUUUGAUGAAUCACUUAAUUGAGUCUCUACACUCAUCGACUCAAAACUGGCCGACAAUGAGUCCUCGUUGUAUGGCAUCAUCCUUCGUUGUCUUCCUCUAUAUGGCUUUCCAAUGGCUCCAACACCUGGACCGGCUCUUCUAGAGCCGUGGUCUUCAUCUUGAGUACAAUGUGUGAAAUCAUCUUCACUAAUAAAUGCCAAUGGUUGUCCACUUUGUUGAUGUUGUCUAACAUCCCCUUCAUCAUUUUCAGGGUCGCUACCAUCAUUGGUCCCCUCUCCUCUUGAAUCAUCAUAACCGGAAGCGGAAGUACCAGUAGCACUAGGUCUACUACUAUGUUCAACACUCGUGGGGUCAAAAGAAGGUCGAGAAGUGACUACCAGCUGAGAAAUUCCUUGUCGAAAUGAAUCUUUCGUGUCUUGGUUGAAACUAUCAAUAUGAACUUCUUCGGAUAACACUUGAUCAACAUCAACACCUGCUUCUCGGACAUGUGCGGCAAUUCGUGGGUCGAGAUUUCCAUCUUCAUCAUCUAAAUGAAGAGGUCUAACCCAUUGAAACAAUUGGUUAUCUUCUUCUUCACCAGCCUCAGUUGCAAUAUCAAGUAAAUCAAGGUAAUCUUUCUCUGAAACUUUGUCAUGUUCUGCUUCCAUGUCACGUAUCUUUAGUUUCAUGUUAUAAUAAUAGAAAACUAAUUGUUAGAGCAUCGGGUAAGCAAGCUGAUUUCUUUGUUUUGUAUGAAUUAUGGAAAACAUGCUCCAAUUUCUCUCACAAGCUGAAGAUGAUGCAGUUUGCGAUAAAACCUUGAUGACCAACCUUCUUAAUGUAGGAGUGUGAUUUCCAUACAUGAACCACCAUUCAACUACAACCAAAUAAAUGAUAUCAAUACUUAUAUUGGAAAGCUAUAAUAAUAUGCUAAUGAAAUGAAUUAUUAAUUCACAAAUAAUACUCACCGAGAACCAUUUCUAACCUCGAAGCAAUCACUGUUUGAUCACCGAAUCCUCUUUUUGCAUCUCGGAAUAGUAUAAUCUACAUAUUAAAUAAUUGAAAGUGAAAAAGUUGAGUAAAUGAAAUUAAAUUAUUUAAUUUAUAUUAUAACUCUAAUAAUUUACCUCAUUUCCAAAUUGACUAAAACCUUCUGAUGUAGGAUCUAAUUUCGCAAAGACUUCAUGGACAACUUGAAGUAGAUCAGGAUCAGUACCAACUCCAUGUUUAUAUUGAAAUCUUGGAUUAAGAAAGAAUGCUACAAUAGUAAAAUAGAAAUGUAAAAUUAGAAUGUUAUGAAAGAAACAUAUUAAAUACCAAUAAAUUUCAAAGAUGAAUAAUACUUACCUGCUGCAUGAAAAGGAUGUUUAAAAGUUCUAUCCCAACGAUAUGCAAUUAUUUCUAACACCCAUUCUUUAGCAUUAAGUCGAAUAAGGUUCUCUUUCAUAACUCGAAUCAAUUCGUACACAAAUGGCAUUGUAGGAACAACUUCUGAAUCGACAAUGCGAAGAACUGUGUAUAGCGCCUCAUAUAUUGACACUAGCUUUCCCACUCUUUCCUAGUAUGCAUGGUCAAACAUAAGUGAUUCAACUUCUUUGCCGAUUAAUGUGCAACUUAAGUUGUGUUGUGCCCAUUCAUCACUGAUAAAUAUUUUCUUCAAGUUUAUUUUCUUUUUCAAAAGACUGUCGAAGGCUAUAUAAUUGGUUGCAAAUCUUGUUGCUCCAGGACGAACUAUGUCUCCACCACACACCUUCCGCAUCUGGGUAAGCAACCAACCAUGGUUAUAAAUGAAGUUGGUUAUCUUUCGAGCCUUUGUAAUCACAUCUGCAACACUCGUCCUUUUACCGAUAUCUUCGAACAUUAAGUCGAUGCAAUGUGCUGCACAUGGAGUCCAAUAAAGAUUGUAUUUCUUCAUUAACAACUUCCCCGCCUUCAUGAAUGCCGACCCAUUAUCUGUAACUAUUUGGACCACAUUUUGUUUGCCAAAUUCCUUGAUCACAUCCUUCAACAAACCAUAUAUGUAUUUGUUGUCCUUUAUAUUAUUUGAUACAUCAACAUAUUUGAGGAAGAUUGUGCUACCUUUUGAAUAUACCAUGAAAUUAAUUAUGCUUAAUUUCGUGGGCCCAGUCCAUCCGUCAGACAUAAUCGUGCAUCCAUAAGUCUUCCACUUUUCUCUUUGAAUAUUGACAUAAGCUUCUAUGUCUUUGUACUCCAUAUCCAAAUACUCGUGUUUGAUUUCAUAAGGAGACGGUGGUUUUAUACCCAUACCUACCAUCCAUAUAUAAUUAAAGCAUAUAAGAACAUUUGUGGCAAUCAUACUAUAUAAAUAGUAAUGAUAUUGUUAAAAUGAAUACAACUUUUAAAAUUAUAGUAAUUACCUGCUUGUUGUGCACCAACAAUCAUGUUCUUGAAGUGGUGAGAGUCUGUUUUACUGGGCGGAACACUCUCAUAUAUGAAGAACUUACUGAUCAAACGUCCCAUGGUUUCCUUGAUGGCACCACCUUUGAAAAUAUUUUUCAUAUUUUUAUGUCUUGCUACUGAAGAUUUGUACAAUGAGGGUGCAUCAGGCAGUGAUGGAUCUAAAUAUCGAACACUUUGCGAUUUUCGCAUUUGCCUUGUUGUUGGAUUGGUUGGAUGUGAAGACUUGCCUAUUAUAAUUAUUAAAAUUAAACAUAUAUGCUAAUUUAAUAUUAUUGAUAAAGUUGAUAAGAAAUAGUAAUAAUUCAAAUUAAUAUUAUACCUGUUUUUAUUUUGUCUUUUAUAAAAUGUUCUUCUUAUUGUCGAUUCCAUUCAGCAGCUUUUGAUGCUCGAACCGCCUCUCUAUAAGCAUGUCGCUCACCAAGGUGCAUGUCAGCCAGAUACAUAUACACAUCAUCAUCUCCAUCAUCAUCAUCACCACCAAGGUUCUCCUCAUCGUCCUCAUCAGUUACAUGCUUAUGUCUUAUUCCCAUUGUGUCUCGCAGUUCAGAUCGAAUCUCUUCUAUAUCUGUAGCUUUCUUCGCUUUUGCCUUAUUUUUUUGCUCUAGAAGUCGUCUUAUUUAUUGUUUCACUUCUGGAGGCAUGUUAGGACACUUUUUUGUAUUUGAAUUAGGGUCUGUAUGUGAUAGGUGAAAUUUAAAACGAGUAAUCCCACCACUCUUUAUUGCCAACCCACAGUAAUUGCAUACUGUUCCAUUUUUGUCCCCUUCCAUAGGUGUACAAUAUUUCCAACAAGGAUCUCGACCCAUGAUACCGCUUUCACUAGCCAUUUUCUAAAAUUGAAUUAUGAAACUAAUAUCAAAUUUAAAAUUAUUAAAGAUAAAACAUGUAAGAAAUUUAAUAUUCAUGAAAUUGAUAAGAACUAAUAAAAAUUGAAAUUAAAAUUAAAUUAUGCAUAUAUGAAAUAGAUAAACAUUACAAUAAAAUUUCAAUAUGAAUUAAAUUUAAAUUAAAUUAAAUUAAAUUUGUAUAUUCAUGAAAUUGAUAAGAAUCAUUACUAAUAAAAAUUAAAAUUAAAAUUGAAUUAUGCAUAUAUGAAAUAGAUAAACAUUACAAUAAAAUUUCAAUAUGAAUUAAAUUAAAUUAAAUUUGCAUAUUCAUGAAAUUGAUAAGAAUCAUUACUAAUAAAAAUUAAAAUUAAAAUUGAAUUAUGCAUAUAUUAAAUAGAUAAACAUUACAAUAAAAUUUCAAUAUGAAUUAAAUUUAAAUUAAAUUAAAUUAAAUUAAAUUUGCAUAUUCAUGAAAUUGAUAAGAAUCAUUACUAAUAAAAAUUAAAAUUAAAAUUGAAUUAUGCAUAUAUGAAAUAGAUAGACAUUACAAUAAAAUUUUGAUAAGAAUUAAAUUAAAUUAAAUUUGCAUAUUCAUGAAAUUGAUAAGAAUCAUUACUAAUAAAAAUUAAAAUUGAAUUAUGCAUAUAUGAAAUAGAUAAACAUUACAAUUACAUUUCCAUAUGAAUUAGAUAAUAUCAAUUAAACUAUUGUAGACCCCCCUCUUUUGGUCUCGUUUCUUUUUUUUUCCUCUACAUAUAUUAUGUUUGUUUUAGCCAUUGCGGAAGCACCUGGAAGAGGUGUUAGUGCCUUGAACAAGUGGGGGGACCUGGCUGUUUGGAGAGAUGAGCUGCGUGGAACACGUGGUGGAGCAGUUGGCCACAGCCAUGGUGGUGGUUGGGGCUCCAGUUUGCUGAGCAGAGGAACAGUAUAGUAGCUGAUGGCUUGCAGGAAAAGCUUUGACGGAGAAGGAGGACAGAGGAUUUUUAAGAGGAUCCUUUUGAGAGUGCUGGCAGGGGGGGAUCUUGGAGGGAAAGGGAAGAGGAGAAGUAAGUUUUGAGGAGAAAGGGGCUUUCAGGUAUGGCCAUUUAUGAUUUUUCCCGAAUAUUCUGAUCUUUCAUAUCUUUCCCAUCUUACUCUCCAUGAUUCCAGUUUUGCUUGAUGAGUUGUUUUGUUUUGAUGAUUGUUGGUUUAACAUUAAAAAAGAUGGCUGUUUUUUUUGUGUUUUACCCGUGCAAACCUCUUCCAACUUAACCCUUUGAUCGUUAAGCUCAUGGAUGAAAGAAUGAAACGAAGUUAGCACAUUCAUCAAAAGGUUCCCUGCUAUGUUUCUCCAUUUGUUCCCUUUGCUUGAGUAUGUGAGUAUUGAUGCUAAUAGUAGCAAGGUCCCAGCCAACUUUGUACAAUAGAGCUCAGAUGUUGCUCUAGGGGUUCAUGAUCAUCCUGUCAAGUGCCUAGGAGCAAAUGAUGCCCUUGAGCUUACGUUUCUAAGUCGUGUUCUCCCUACCAAGCUGGAUACCCUCCUUGCUAAGGACGGGGGGACGAAACCUAUUAACAGCCGAAACCCAAUGAUAAGAUCCAAGUCACUGUCGAGUAUCUCAAUGAGAAGGAUGCCAUGGUUCUUUCUUCGUGUACAUGUUGUUCCCAUCUCCACCCAAGUUGACUAAACUGUCAUCAGUGAUGAGAUUGCUGCCUACACUAAAUAAUACAUCAUCCAGCCGGUUAUUCAUGAGAAACAUUAAGAUGAGAAGUCCACCUUCCAACACCCAUUAAGCCACUCUUCACACCCAUCUUCUCUCAUUAACAUCCUCAUACCCCUCCCACCACUUCGUGAUUCAUAUCCCCAUCAUCCCCAGCCGUCCAUGCUAUCAAUAAUAUCCCCACUUAUCUUCAUACCCAUUUGUUCCACUAUUCGGAAUCCCCAUGCAUGCGAAACUGGACGCGGAAGCCAUGAUAGCAGAGAUUGUGAUGAAGAACGUGGAAUGCGGUACCCUGUUGCAUGAAGUGAGCAUGGUGGAGCGGCGGUUUGAGGAGUCGACGAGGAAGAUAGAGCUGUAGAAGAGCUUGCUGGAGGUGUUGGAGUUGGAGAGGACGAUAUUGCUGAAUGAUAACGUGCGGCUGGGGCGCGAGAUGAGUGCGCUGAUUGAGGAGAACAAGGGGCUGUGGAGGUCCCGGCUCCUGCUCCGACGCUGGAGGCGCUGAGUCCUCCAGCACCGCCGGCCGAAGCUCCUAGGCCACAGCUAGAUGCGAUCCCAUCCAUCUCCAUCUCUGCCAGGUGAGAGUAGGGCAGAGAAGAUCACGUGCGUGAGGUAGAGGGUAGAAAUGGAUAAAGGGCAUAGAAAAUGGGCUACAGCAAUGCAUGGAAUUGUUUGAUAAAAGAAAAGAGAAAUGGGUUUGUUGACACGUGAAAGAACUAUGCACUUUAAAAAAACUCUCCCUGUUUGUUUUACAUAUUCUCAAACAAUGCUUAAAAAUCCCUUAAAAUUUUAAAGUUAAAAAUUUAUUCACUUAUUCAUGUUUUUCUAUUCACUUCAAAUUCUCGAAACUCAAUCCUAAAAUUUAAUUUCUUCAAAGUUCAAUCUCCAAAAUAACUUUUUUUUUAGGUUCUAAUUUUAACUUUAAUUCUCCAAAGAUCCAAAAUUUUAAAUUUAACUUUCCAAAAAUCCCACAAUUCCGAAUUUAAUUUUAGGUCUUGUAAAUUAGUAUUAUUAUCCCAUAUUUAUUUAUUUAAAGUCCAAUCCUUCAAAAAUCUCAUUAUUAUUAUUAUUAUUACUUCAACUUUCGAAAUCAAUUUAUUCUUAUUAUUAUUAUCAUUAAUCCAAACUUUCAAAAUCCUAUUAUUAUUAUUAUUAACCCAACUCUCAAAAUAUUAUUAUUAUUAUUAUUAUUAUUAUCAUUAAUUCAGACUUUCGAAAUCUUAUUAUCAUUAUUAUUAAUUCAACUUGCAAAACCUUAUUAUUAUUAUUAUCAUUUCAAAACCUUAUCAUUAUUAUUAUUAUUAUGAUUAUCAUUAUUAUUAAUUUAACUUUUAAAAUAUUAUUAUUACUGUUUUUAUUAAUUCAACUUUUAAAAUCUUAUUAUUAUUAUUAUUACUAAUUCAAUUUUCAAAAUCUUAUUAUUGUUAUUAUUAUUAUUAUUGUUAAUUCAACUUUCAAAAUCUUAUUAUUAUUAUUAUUAUUAUCAUUAUUAACCUAUUAUCAUUAUUAUUAUUAUUAUUACUAUUACUAUUAUUAUUAUUAUUAUCAUUAUUAUUAAUUCAAUUCCCCAAAUCUUAUUAUUAUUAUUAUUAUUAAUUCAACUGUCAAAAUCUAUAUUCCCGUAGUUUAAUUUCUCAAAGUUCAUUUCUUAUCAUUACUGUUAUUAUUAAUUCAAUUUUCAAAAUCUAUAUUCUCGCAGUUUAAUUUCUCAAAGUUCAUUUCUUAUCAUUACUAUUAUUAUUAAUUCAGCUUUCAAAAUCCAUAUUCUCGCAGAUCAAUUUCCUAAAGUUCAUCUCUCAUUUUCUUUGACGAAUUUCAAUUUAAUUACCGAAGCUCUAAUCUUUCAAAGUUAAUUCCAAAUACUUCAAUUUUCAAAUAAAGUCUAAUAAUCCAGUUUUCACUCGAAUGGUUUUAAUCCCAUUUCAGUCCCUAAAUAAUCUUCUGGUAUUCUUGAUUUUAUAUAAGCAAUAGUGAAUUCUUCAUAAUUCUAAAACACGGAAUUUGUGAGACUGGUUCAUGAAUAAUAAAUUGGGUUUUGGUGGGAGGCACUAUGUUUGAUCCCUAUUGAUUGUCAACUGUUGUGCUUAAUGUAUUUUUGCUUGAUCUUCAUUUUGCACCCUGAUAUGCAUGAGUUAUAAUUUGUAUUCAUUAAUUAUGCACUAAUCCUGUUUCUUGAUAGCAAAUUGCUGUUUGCUACCCAGGUACGCAUUCACUCAUUCUGAUCAUUCACUAUACGUAUUCUGAUUCUCAUAUAUGCAUGAUUAAUGUGAGUAUCCAUUGACUUUCUUAUUCGAUUGCCACGUCAGUUUCACUUUAUUAGUAGAGACCCGACUUUAGGGACUUUGAGGGGUGCUAUGGUCUCUACCGUACCUUCCCGAUAAGUAACCUGACCCUCGAACCCGAUCCGGUUUUUCACAGACCACCUUUUCCAAAACAAGGAGUCGCACUUAGGGUUUUUCUUUCUUAUUUUGUUUACCCUUUAAAAAUAAAACAAAAAUAAGUGGCGACUCCAAGUCAUUUUCAAAUAAUCAAUAAAAAUCAAGUUUUCAAAUAAAAAUCGAGUUCGUCAUCGAGUGGGAAACGCAUUGAGCCGAAAUGCGGGGUCCACAACUAUAUAUAACAAAUAAAAUUGAAUUAUGCAUAAUAAAAUAAAUUUUAUGAAAGGUAAGACAUACCUUAAUUAGCUUUGACUUGGAGUUAAUCCCUUUCACCAACAAAUUUUCAAAAUAAAAAAAUUUUGCUAGAUCAUAUAAGAAUUUUGAUGUAUGAAAUGGAAUGGAAUGUGGGUAUUUAUAGGAAUUUUUUGGUCAAACUACUCGUUGGAUGGUCAAAUAGCCGUUAUAAAUUAAUUUUAACCGUUGGAUCAAAAUUUGGUUCAAAUUUCACCAUUAGAUCUUCAUAUAACCGUUGGAAACACUCCAUAGCCCUUGGAUAAAGUGAAGAUUGAUUUUCCACCAUUGGAUCACAAAUCUGACCAUUGGAGGCCUUUAUAAACACACGGGUGAAAUUUGGGCCAUCAGAUCCUCAAAAAUUCAAAUUUGGCCGUCAGAUCAAAAUCCUUGAAGCUGUAAAAAAAUCACCGAUUAAUCGCGAUUUUCUCGGCAAAAAAUCGUUGAUAUAUCGGUAAAAUAGCUGAUUUUUUGGGCUCCUCCUCCGGCUUCUUCGUGCGUGCCUCUACUCGCGAUUUUUCGUCGAUUUAUCGGUGAAGCACCGAUAUUUGGCCGAUAUAUCGGCGAUUUUGCCGAUUUUUCCGUCGAUUGAUAAUCGGUGACGAUUAUUAUUUCGGUGCCGCCCAAUAUCCGAUAUUUCUCCGAAAUAUCGAUGAUAUAUCCCGAUUUUUCAAUCCCUAGUUAGACCCUUAGAGGGAUUUUAAGUAGAGAGGGCCCGAGCUUGACAUUUCUCCUCCACCUCAUUCAGAUGGUAUUCAUGUUGAGACCACUUUCUUAGAGCCUAUGAUGAUUGAGUCGUCUUACACUACAGGAGCAUCAUCUCAGCCAUCAUUCACCGAGCUUCCUCACACAGAGAUACCAUCUCAGGCACCUCACGCUUCUGAUCAUGCCCCUUGGAUGGAUGUAUCAGCUCAUAUCAGCUUCCUUGGGACUCCUAUGGAGGAGCUUGCUUUAGUCAAUGAUACUCGAUUCUACUCUAUGGAGGAUCACAUAGAUCAGUAUCAGACUGGCUUCACUUCUCGUUUUGAGCACUUCCAGCAGAGAUUUGAGCGUAUAGAGGAGCGUAUGGAUCAACAGCAGGCUACAGUUGAGCAUCUCCAGCAAAGUAUUGAGCGCAUUGAGAGUCGCCAGGCGAGUUAGCAUGAGGAGAUGAUGGCUUACCUCCGCUCCGUGUUUCCAUCUUCACCCCCUCAGCCUUGAGUUUAUCUAGAGUUCCCCCUCAAUUUCUUUUUUAUGUUGCUAAAGGGGGAAAAAUAUCUAGGAUCUAGGAAACCCUCAUGCAUAUCAUUGUCAUAUCUAUCUUGAUUAGCAUAUAUGUUAUGUUUUCGUGUACAUGUGAGGUUACCAUAUAUAUGAUAUGCUAUUUUCAUGAUCCAUUGUUUCCUAUUCAAUUUUUCAUGCUUUACAUUGUUUCCUAUUGAAAAUUGAUUGAUUGAUCCAUGAUUGGUUUGAGGGGGAGAUUUUUUUUCUCUCCUAGAUAACCAAGGUUGGUCAUCAUAAAAAAUGGGGAGAUUGUUAGCCUAAGGGCUCUCCUAAUCGGGUUUUGAUGAUAACAAACCAUGGUUAAAUGACUAAUUGGUUUAAUGGUUAAGAAUCUCAGGCAUAAACUCGAAAAUUCAUCAAAUGACCAAAUGGAUACAAGAUCGAGACAUUUGGAAGACUUGUGAUCAUAGGAAACUAAUGUAAGAUAAAUACAUGAGUGCACUUAGGAUUUUCAUACCGUUUCAUGCAAUUUAGAAAACUCGGUUUAUUUUUUAAAACUUCGAUUUCAUUAAAACCCGAGUUUUAACAAAUGUACCUUAGGCAAAAUGUUUUAAAAUUGGCAUAAUAAUUCACCUAAAAACCUUGCCUAAGUGUUAGAAAAAAAAUGAAUUCAAAAAGAUAGGUUUUUAGGGCCAAAAGGCUCAACCGGUUGGAGAACCAGUCGACCAAUUGCCCUUCUCCGGUCGAGGAAUGCACAAAAUUUUCUCUCUCACAGUAGCCUUCUCUUCCCAGUCGAGGUUAUUCUCUUCCCGAUUGAGAACUGGUCAAGGUCCGGUCGAUGACCGGUCGAGGCAACGGUAUCCUGUCAAGCAUUAAAUGCUCCAACGGCUAGUGAACCGGUUGACCCCUAGUUCGAUCGGUCGAGGUUACCUUUUGCUGUUUUUGGCUCCCGAGCUUAGAAACCUAUAAAUUGAGAGCUCCACUUCAUUUAUUGACGAGAGAACACUUGCAACUAAUUGUCUACCUACCUGUUCUUGAUCAAAAAGCUUUCAUUUCUUUCUUAGUGCAUUAAAUCUUCAAUUGCAUAUCCUUUAGUGCACUCUUGUGUGUCAUCCUAGCUUUGUCUUAUAUUUGAGCUAUCCUUAAGCUAGGUUGAGGGAUUCAUUCUUGUAAAAAUCGAGUGUUAAAGCCUUCAAGAGGUUUAAAUCUUGAAGAGAUUGUGUAAGAGCCCAUUGGAGCCGGAAUCCAAGUGUAAGAAGAUUGGAAGCUUGGUUGAAACUUUAAGUUAGUGGAACCCUCACUCAGUUAGGAGAUUGAGGAGAGUGGACGUAGGCAAGAAAGUGCCGAACCACUAUAAAAUCCGAGUUUGAAUUCUUUAACUCUAUUUCUUUAUUUUGCUUAUAUUUUGCUUGAACUCGUUGUGAUCGAAAAGAAUUUAAAAAAUCCAAUUCACCCCCUUCCCCUCCUUUUGGGUGUUUUUCUUAAUUAAGCAUAGCCUAUAUUUUCUCAUAAAUAAUCUCACAAAAUCCUAGUACAAACUUUAGCCUCAAAUUAUACAAGAUAAACUAGGAUUGAAUGGUGCACUAAUGAUAUGUAAGUUUUAAAACAAUGUGUACUAAAAAACACUCCCCUAAGGCUCAAUUAUAUUCAAGAAAGGUUUAAGAAGGUUAAACUCUUGAAACUAUAAAGAUUGAAGCGUUUUUAUAGAAGAGAAAAGCCAAACUACCUAUUGGGGGUUCGUCUGGUCGAGCUCUGGUUCGACCAGUUCACUAGCCAUUAGCAUUUAAUGUAUGAUAGGUGACCAUUGGGCCUUGACUGGUACUCAAUUGGAUGAAGUUCAACCUUGAUUGAUCGAAUAAGCAUUAUGGAAAAGAGAUAAGGUUUUUGCACCCUUCAACUGAGUAAGUUGAAUAAGUCGACUAAUUCCUCAUUCAAUUCAACCAAUUAAGUCAUUUUUUGCUAAAAAAACCAUCAUUUUCAACUUAAAACCUUUUAAACAAGUUUGGAAAGCAUUUGACAUAAGGUUUUAGUUGAAAACAUGAAAUCAUCCAAUUUUUAAAAGAUUUAAAACAAAAUAACUCUUGAAUGAUUUUAGUGUAUAAGUAAAGAAUGUAAUGCAUGAAAAACCCCAUGCACUAACAACCUUACAAAGAGAUCCUAUGAGGCUUAGGUCUUGAAAAAACACUUAUCUUUAAGGUUUUCUUCUUCUUAUUGAUUUUAUCUUUGUGAUUGCCACUUUGGAAAUCAUCUUGCCUAGUCACACUUAAAAUAUAAUCAUUAGUUCUAAACCUUGUUUUGUUAUCAUCAAAACUAAGAUUAACCAAACCUUGGUUUCACAGUAUGAAUAUUGUAUCUUUAGAUCUAUAGUUAAUAGUGGUUUUUAUAGUCAUAUGUUUCUAUUGUGAUAAAUUUAGAGAUGCCUAGGGAUAGAUGAAUGCACCCUAUGAGAUCUAGUGCAUAUGAAUGGAGUAAUCUGGGGUUCCUAACAUAGUUUAGGCUUGUGCUUCAUAGAGCGAUAACAAUUCUUCAAGCAUAGUUAUGCUUUAGAAAUUUGUUAUUGAUUGGUCCAAUUUUUAGACCAUCUUUAGCAACAAUCUUGUGGGCACCAUUGAUAUAAACUUGUUAUACAAAAUAUGAUCUAUCACAUUUUUGGCAAGAACUUUCCACUAGUUUUGUGCAUGGUAAUGAUCAUGCAUGCAAACUUAACUAAGUUAUACACUAGAUGCCAAACUACUACAAUUCUUAUACACCUUCCCAUUUUGUGCAACCGAACAAUUCAACAUCAUAACACCAAAGUUCUUGCUUAGAUUUCCUACAGUGCUAAAAUUUUGAAAUGAUUAAUUUUUUUAUUUUCCUUUCAAUACCAAGACCCACAUACAUCAUGUCAUGCCCUAAGACCCACUCUAAGGGCAUGACAAUCAUUUCACAUCUCAAGGUAGAAAGCUCAAAGUGUAAAUUGACCUUAACAUUCAUUUUGUAACUGGAAAAUUAUCAAUUACCAAAUUCAUAUUCAAAGUAGUAGAAUAAAAUUCUAUAAGUUUCAAAUCUCAACUUUAAAGCUAACACAUCAACUAAAGUGUUAUUGUCCAAACAACUUCAAACUUAACAAUUCAAGCAAUCAUUAAAUUCUAGCUUUCAAAAAAAUAAAGUUUUAACCAAAAGUCUUAAUAUUGCCAAAAUAUCAUCCUAACGAUCACUCCUAGCCCGAAUUAAGGUGCCUAAAAAAUUGUCAAUGAAAGGAAAUGAGAUCAACGCUCAAUAAGGAAUAUUAACAAAGUUUCAUGGAUCAAACAUUUUUAAUUAUAAUUCCAAAUAGGAGAUAUAAUAUAUAAUCAUUUUCAUAAAAACUUUUGAGUUUAAAUAUAAUAAUACAUUCAAAAAUUUUUAGCUAAACAUUUUCAUAUCUAUGUCAAAACAAUUUCAUAUCAAAUUCAAAUCAAAUAUAUACAAAAUAUUUUUAUUUUGGUUAUCAAAUAUCACAUGGUGUCAAGUUAGGUGGGACUUUACAAAUUGGUGUCUAGCCUCAAAUUUUUUCAUUUCAAGGUGGAUGAAACCAAACACUACUAGUAUUAUUAACAUCUAACCAAAUGCCUAAAGGGUGGAAUCUAAAGCAAUUACAUGCCCCGCCAAGAAAUAUAAGGUCAACAAUUAUAACUAGUUAACUAAGGACAAAAAUAAACUAGAGUCAAACACCUUAUUUCAUUAAUUCAAACUUACAAAACAAAAACAUCAUAUCUCCAUAAUUUUCAUUUUUUAUAAACAAAAGAAAUGUUCUAACAUAUUUUUUUCAUGAAAAAUAUAUAUUUGAUCCAUGCAUAAAAAUAAAAAUAAUUUUUUUUAUUAUUCAAAAUAACAUAUAAAAGUAAAUAUGUUCUUUUGGCCAAAACAUGUAUUAAUUUUUCUUACCUCAAAGAAACACUCAAAGACCUUGAAGCAAUUAAUCCUGAAGAAUUUCACCCCAAAAAACAUAUUUCAUACCUUACAAAAAAAAAACAAAAAAACAAAAUUACUAUUGAUUAUUUAUCUAAUAAUAGUUUCGUAUCUCAUAUCACCUAUAUUAUUUUUAACUUCCUAAUAAAUAACAAUUUAAUAAGUGAUUUUCCAAAUUUUAAAAAGUUAUGUUCUUUCCAAAAUUUAUUCAUAAUAUUCUAUUAUUAUUAAUUAAAUCUCUCAAAAAUAUGUUUUUUCUAUUUAUUGCAUUAAACUAUUAUUAUUAUUAUUCAAUUUCAAUUUGAUUAAUUGGUUUUUUCUUUUAAAUUUUUAAUUUAUAUAAGAUUCUUGUUUUGAAAAUCUUCCAUAUUUACUUAUUUGUUUAAAGUAAAUUUCUCCAAAACUUGUUCCUUUUUGUUAAACAAAUAUCUUUUCCUAUUAUUAUUAUUAUUAUUAUCCCUAAUAUUAUAUUCAAAUAACUAAACAAUAAUAAUUUAAAUUAGUGAGUUUCCAAAUUUUUAUAAAACUCAUAUUCAUUCUAAAUCUUAUCAUAUAUAUCUAUUUCUUUUAUAUAAUUAAAUUAAAUUAAAAAUUUUACUUAAAUAUAUAUAUAUAUAUAUAUAUAUAUAUAUAUAUAUAUAUAUAUUAUAUUAUAUUAUUACUUUCAACAUCCUUCUACCACCGAAACAAUUACCUCAAGUAAAAGUCAUCUAUCCUUAUUCUACUAACUACCCUCUCUCUUGCAAUAGCACACUUAGGGAUGGCAAUGGGGCGGGUUCAGGAUAGGUCACCCCCAUCCCAACUCCACCUUGUUUAUUCAAAAUAAUUAUCAUCCUCGUCCCAUUUAAAAAAUUAAAUGAGACGGGGCGAGUAUGAUAAAUUCUCAUACUCGCCUCGUCCUGCCCCGUUUAACUUUUUUUUGAAUUUAUUUAUUUAUUUAUUUUUAAAAUUACUUUUAAAAUUUUUAAUUACAUUAAAAUAAAUAUAUUUUAUAAAUAAUUAAAUAAUUAUAUUUUUUAUUACUUAUUUUAUUAAAAAUAUUUUAUUAUUAUCUAUAUAUUAAAAAUAGUAAAAUAAAAAUUAAAUUAAAUUAAUUUUAAAAAUUAAUUUUAUAUAUAAUUGGGGCGGGGUGGGACGGGGCAAUACCCAAACCUGCUUCGGGUUUUAAAAAAAAUUCUCAAACUUGUCCCAAACCCGUUUAUUAAAAUUGAACUCCGUCCCAUUAGGGACGAGGCGAGUACCUCGAAAAAACCUGCCUUAUUGUCAUUCCUAAGCACACUUUCAUUUUUUUUUUUUCAUUUUUAUUGCUUUUAUCUUUUUCCUCCCUAAGAUCAAUCAUAUUGUAAGCACCCCUUUUUUUUUUCUACCACAUCUUGUUGCAAUCAACCUUGUAAGUUUUUUUAAUUUAAAUUUUUUUUCCACUAUGGAGGCACGUACAACCAUAAAACCCCAUCUUUUUUUAUUUUAUUUUUACAACUCUCAAAUCUCUCAACCUCCAUACUAUUAGGUUUUAUUCAUUCAUUUAUUUAUUUAUUAUUCCAUAUCCAAAACUAUAAUUAAUUUUCUUUUAUAUUUUUUUAUUUUAGAUCUAUUAAUUUGAAUAUUCAAAAUUUCUAAUCUUUACUAAUAACUCUAAAGCAUUCAAAACUAAUUAAUAAAUAUAAAAUAUUAAUCUAAGGAUUAAAAUCUUAUAUAGAAAAUUGAUCUUCAAAUCUUAAACCCCCAAAUUUUCAACCUUACAUUGCGUUGUCUAAUAUCUCAAAUCUCCAUGUAAAAGGGCUUUUGAAUAGAGUAAAUAAGAAAAAUUUAAUUUAUACCUAAAAUUUUUAAAAUAGAGAAAAAUCUUUCUACCCUUAUUAAUUUAAUUUAAUUAAUUUUUUAAAAUUAUGUUUUUACCCUUUAAUUGGGUUUGGGCAUCACACAUCAUACUAAAAAGUUAUCAAUAACCGUCCUUUGAGGCAUAUUAGCAUAAAUUUGCAACUUUAGUUGUGUUCUAGGUGCAAUUCUAUUAUGUUUAAUUGAAAAAUAACACACAUAGCACAACCAAGCCUAAUUGAAAGCAUUUGGGCAAAUAAAUGGUAAAUUUCUAAAAGUUCACCAAAACAAAAAAAAAGAUCAUAGAGGGCAUAUUUUUCAAGUCAACCUAGUUUUGGGAUAGCCACUUUCAAGCCUAAUGAUGUUAAGAUGUCUUAUUGCAAUCCAAUCUAAGAAUGCAAUAAUAGCUCUUUAAUUCAUAAUUUUAAAUUCACAAAAGAUAUCACCAAAAAUUACCAUAGGUUACCAAAGCAUCAACAACAUACAGAAAGCUUAGAAAUGCUUGGAACCUAUCGGAUUUUCACUUUUUAGGAAUAAAAAAAAAAAUCAACUUUAAGGAUUUUAGGGUAAUACUUGCUUGAACCAUCUUUCAAUCCUUUUGUUGGUGGUGGGCCUUUUACCUAUAGGAACAGGAAUAAGAGGUGAAAAUGAGGGAGCCUUAUGAAAACAGAUCCCUAGGGCUUAAGAAGGGGUUUUCAAUUUUAGGGUUUGCCUUUUCACCAAGGAUGUGAAUGGGAAGAUCAAGUGAAGUUAAGAGAUUGGUGAAGCAAAGUGAGGGCAUGGUAGGGUUUGAAUAAGGGAAAUUCUACACUAUUAAUGAAGAUGAUAAUCUCGAGAAAGCAAAGCUAAGGUAAACUAGGGUUUUAAUAACAUUUUUCAAUCUACACUAGUGAAGACGAUAUCUUCGAAAACCAAAGCUAGGGUAAGCUAGGGCUUUAAUAAUGAAUUUCAAUCUACAAUGGUGAAGAUGAGAAUCUUCGAAAACCAAAUCUAUAAUGGUGAAGAUGAUUGAAAACUAAAUCUAUACUGGUGAAGACGAUUGUAAAGCAAAUCUACACUAGUGAAGAUGAUAAUCUUCGAAAACCAAAUCUAUAAUGGUGAAGAUGAUUGAAAACUAAAUCUAUACUGAUGAAGAUGAUUAGAAAGCAAAUAUUCACUGGUGAAGACAACGAAACCAAAGGUAGGUCUUCUAAACUAAACCCUUUUAGGGAUUUUCCAUUUUUUUUCCUUUGUUUUCAAGAAAGGUAAACUCUCUUGAAAACCAAAAAACUAAUGCAUUCUUAAAUCCAGAUCACCAUUUUCAACAUAGUAUUUGGAUUUCCACCUUGCAUUUUUUAUUUUUUAUUUUUUUUAAUAGUCAAGGGCAUUUUAGGGAUUAUUGAAGGAUAAUAUCAAUAAGCUCAAUUUCCUACAUUAGUUAGGUCUUAGGCUCAAAUGUGAAACUUAUAGGGAUGUUAGGCCAAUUAUCAAACUUACUUGCCUAAAGCAUAAUUUCCCCUUUUCAAAAUAGUUGUUAAACAUCAAUCCCAAACAUGUGUAACCCUUUGAAGUACUUGUAUGUCAACCUUGUUUCCUUUCCCUCAUGCAACAUGACUUAUUGAUGGUUGCAUUGAAUCAUUAUCAUUCACCAAAUCCAUGCAACUAUGGACUACCUUUCAAAUCCCUUGAACAUAAAUGGUAAUUCCAAAACAACUCAAGUAUAAUCUUUCCGGCCUUUCAAAUGAUUUAAUUAAUUGAUGUUUGAAUAUACUUCAUAUAUUUUUUUAGAGCAAUUUUUAGGCAUAUGACAUAAAUCUCUAAUUUUUUUUAUUUUUAUAAAAGGUUUUAUAUUUUAUAUUACAAUUUCCUCUCUUUUUUUUCAUCUAAAAAACAAAAUAUAAAACCUUAAUAAACGAGUUUUGUCACAAUCCCUUAAAAGGUAAUCUAUUUUUAAAAAUUACUUUAACCAUUUUAGAUAUAUUGAUUCAGUCUAAUUUAAUUUUAAUAUUUUUUAUAAAAUAUUUUUAUUUUAUAUGAUUAUAAAUUAAUUACCAUUGAUUGCAUAUUAUAGAAUAUAUAUUCUAAAAUAUAUCCUAUUGACAAUAAUAUCAUAAGAUAUUAUAUCCAUAUCCUAAUAUAUUAUAUACUUUUAUUUUGUGCAAUUAGCAACAGGGUGGAAGACGGCUUAGGCGGGAGACGGCUUAACGGAAAUGUCGUCUGCCAUGCGUGUCCCUUCCCUUAGUGAGUCUGAACAGCUCCAACAUUUCUGACACGCCCUUCUUCGGUUAGCUCUUAAGUAUUUUCGUUAACCCCAUCACAUUUCGCCAUGUGGAUCUAAGCCUCAUGGUCCUUUCGUUCGUACUAUGAAUAUAUUCCUUAUCUAGAGUCUGGAUCCUUUAUCUCUGCACGUGUCUAUGGCUCUUCACCCCAGCAAGUAUGGCAUUACAAGGGCAAUAUCGUCAUUAAAGACCCAAAAGGCAAACGAAUGGCAUUAUCUUCCUUUUGGGUCUAUUCUAUUUAUAUUUAUAUUGCAAGUUAUUCGUGAUGACUUCUCUCAUAACAGCUAAAAACCACUCCAACAGAGCACACUUCACUUCUUCGUUUUUGUCUUUCCUCUUUUUUUUCCAGAGAAGCUGAGAAAGCCCAGCUUGCCCUCAACUCCCCGAUGGGUUUGAUGAAUGUUCUCAAAUUCUCAGCUGCAUGCUUUGAUCUUCUUGGCUGGUAUGUUGUCCACGGAUUUUCUCGUCAUUGGAAAAUGAAGUGGAAUUCUAUGUUUGAGGACAAAACUGGGAUUUGCUUUGAUUUCUCCAUGUUGGUUUUAUCCCUUUCCUUUGAAUUGUCCACAUUCUUGUCAUUGGUUGUUAGUUAUUUGUUUGGAUUUCUACUUGCAGGCCUCUGUUUGCACUGGGUUAUCCUCUGUAAGUCUUGGUCUUACACCCCAAGAUAUGAUCAUUCAUUUACUCUUUUCUUGUUCUAUGAAUUCUUAGUUCUGUUACAUUUAUUGGGUUGGAUUAUUAGUUAUUAUAUUAAUAAUCAUCAACGUCAUCUCGGUUCUUCACAGAUGUGCUUCAAUUCGGGUAAUUGAGACUAACUCAAUCUCAGACGUUCGGAAGUUGGUGGCGUAUUGGGUUCUAUUUUCCUUGGUUUCACUCUUUGAUCAUACUUUUGCCAAGCUCCUUGAAUGGUAAUUUUGCUCAACUGCAUUCCACUAUAUGUGGCUCUAUUUCUUUCAUUUCUCUGCCCUUAAGGAAUUUGGAGUUGCUUUUUUCAGUUUUCUUCCCUGUGAAAAUAAUCGAGAUGUUUAAUGUUCCAGGCCUGCAUGCUCAAGGAAGUGGUGUCAGCUUUGGAAAUAAGAUGGAUCUACUAGUUUUUAUUUCUCAUCUUUAUAGGGAACUUUCCAUAAUCACAGUGAUGAAUAAUUGUCUUGUUUGAAAGCAUGGUUGCACUUAUUUCCAUGGAAUUUGUCUGCUGAGAAACAAAUGGAAAUAGAAAAUUCAGAAUCUGACAAGUUUGUGUAGGGCAACUGGAUCUAAUCUCUUAGUCGAAGCUUAAUUGGGGCAAAUGCUGAUCAUCUUUGGACCAUUGAAGGCUCUAAUCUGUGCACAAUUCUAAUGUUUUUGUUUUCUUCAUUUCUUUUUCAACUGUUCAUAAUAGAUGUCAAAAGAUAAAACCGAACUUAUGUAGUCCAUCCAAGUGGAUGCAUAUAAAUUUAACAGAAACUGAAAUUCGAAGAAAUUUAUUUAUUUUUUUAAAUAUUUUAUUUUCUUAUAUAAUGCAUGUCAGGAUACCAUUCUGGCCUUACAUAAAGCUGAUGGUCAUCUGCUGGAUGGUGAUACCGCAUUUUGAUGGUUCAUAUUAUGUCUAUCAACACCUAGUUCAUCCAUGCUUGUCCAUUGAUCCACAAGUUGUCAUGAAUUGGCUUUUCAAUGAAUCAAAAAAGAAGUUUCAUAGCAGAGAAAACUUUCUUGUUUCAGCAGACCAAUAUAUUAAGGAGAAUGGACCUGAAGCUUUGAAGAAACUACUUGCUAGGAAGGUAUGCCAUUAUAAGUAGGAUUAUCAACAAGUCAAACAGAGUUUUAUUUGAGAUGUUCAAGUAAAAAAUGACUAUAGCAGGUCAUCUAGAAUUAUGUGGUCUAAAUUCAUGUAUAUAUCUAUAUAUAAUUGUGUUCUCUUUUUUUCACAUAUGCAUGUGCAUUUAGAUUUACAUAAUUAUAUAUGCAUAAUCAGAUUCAACUGUGAUAGCCCGGGAUUUAAUUCAGUAAUCAACUCUUCUGGGAACAUGUUGGUUAUGGUUUCUCUCUCACUGUCCUCUUAUUUAUACAUGACUUUGGCUUCAGUUGAGGAGCACAAAGCCUAAUGUUGAAGUGAAAGAGAUCAAAGCACCUGCAGCACCGGAGAAAAAAGGGGAAGCGGUAUGCACUCUAAUGUGGCUAUUUUAUUUCUAUGGAGGCAGAUCCCCAGAAAAAUGUUGCUCAUGUAAAUUAGUGAUGCAUUUAAAAGAAAAACCACUUUAUGUAUGUUUCUGUGAAAAAGAGAACAAGUUUAUGGAUUAAGUGAUAUUUUUUAUGGUGAAAUAAUCAAUAAUUUUCAAAAUAAUAAUAUAUUCGUGCAUGUUUUUGCAAUUCAUGAAUUCCUUUUACGAUUGAUUCUUCUCACCUCAGUGGAAGUGUGAAGAGCCUAAUGUUGCAGAAAAGGAGAUCCAAGUAGUCAAAGUAACAGACAUAAAAAAUGGGGGGAUGGAGCAAAGAGGGUAAGUUUUCCUUUUUAUUUAUAAGGAAGGCUGUCUUCACACAAGGAUUAUUGUUAUUAUUUUUAAGACAUGAAUGUUGAAUGCAUUUGGAAUUGUCGUUGAAUCAUGUGAAGUGUGAAGGUGCAAAUGGUGCUAAGAAGGAGAUCAAAGUGAUGGAAGUAACACAGAUAACAUUUGGUGAUACAGAACAGUGGGUAAGGUUUCUUGUCAUACUUAAACGGCACCUCAUAUUUCACUAGGAUUAAUUUUGGCCUACAAACAUAUUUGGCUACAAGUUGAAGACAGAUUUCCAGAUACUGGUAGAAGUUGAGACAUAAGUAAUGAAUGAGUUUAGAAACAUGCACAACUCUUGUGUGAAACACAAUGAGAGUGGAAAAUAGCUAAGUUGAAAAAUGGCCAAAUACUAUUUUGUAGUUCCCCCCACCACUUAAGUAAUUUUUGUCAUCCUUUGUGAAUGGACAAUGCAGUCCCUUCAGUAAUUCCGCUAUAUUCAUGACUUGGUGAAGCAUAUAACCAUUAGUGUCUUGUCCUAAGUUGACCUUUAAUGAUGAUCCAUUGAGAGGGAUCUGACUUUUGUCAACCCUCUUAGAGGUUAAACAUACGGGGCUUAACCCACUUUUCAAUCUCAUUGGAUAUAUGGCACGUGGUAUCCUCUUCAUCUUGAAAGAGUGAAGUGGUCAUACUCUUUCCUCCGAGUCCAUCGUGGCCAUGCACUUCUGGCUCAUUGGGCUGAGUGAAAGGAUUCCCUUCUGCUUCAAAUCAUAGAGAGAUAUGCCAUGGUCAGCCUCUUUAAUUUGAAGGAUUGAAGUACUCAAAUCCAUUUCUUUGCAUCCAUCUUAGUCCUGCUUCCAUGUCUCAUGGUUAACCAGGAAGAUCAAGCUUCCAUCCAUGAGAUCAGCAUCUGCAGGGUUAUGACUCCACCCUUCCUUGGCAUAGGAAAGCGAUCAUUAAGCCACAUGUCGGAUGACAGAAGUCGUCAUUCAGGUUAUCUUGAGAACUAGGGAAGUUGGAAUUCUAAUUAUUGCAUAUGGUUCUUGAUGUUUAGCCAAUAUACUAUAGGAUUUUAAGCAUCAUGCCCAUGUGCAUUGUGGUUUUUUAUCAGCUAUAUGGUUUACCAAACUGAGGGAUUGAUUAUAGUCAUAAGUACCCUUUUCCCAUUAAUUUCUUGCAUGUGCUUUGCUGAGAUUAUGUUUUUGACAGUGCUAAUCAGGGCAAACCAACAAACAGCUUUAUGUUAACUUUUACAAACUGCCACAUUUUCAGGUUGAACGAUCAGACAUAAAUCUUGGUGAAACUAGAAGUAAUACAACCUGUGCUGUGGAGAUAAAAGAAAGGGCAGCAGCACUGGUGGCUGCAGAAAUUGAGGCAUGUAGAGACAAUAGAACCCCCGAGAUACCUCUGCAUAAGAAAGUCCAGAAAGAGUGGGCUUGUGCUGUAUGCCAGUUCACAACCCAAAGUGAAGUGACCUUCAAUUCCCACCUUCAAGGGAAGAGACAUCAGGCCACUUCUGAGCAGUUGAGAGCCAAAAACCAGGCAACCAAAACCAAUUGUUCCCCAUCUGCUUCAAAGGCCAAGAAAUCUGAUCAGUCCACCAAAGAGGAGCAACCAAAGUGUCCUUCCAACAAUCUGAAUUCCAAAAACAAUGGAAUCUCAGCUGCUUCAACAGUGAAGAAACCUGACGAGACCAAAGAUGAUGAGCAACAAAAGUGUGCAUCCAGCAAUGGACCAAACCAGAAGAAUAACAAAAAGCAAGAGGAGAAGGUGCUAGUUCUUGAGACCAAUGAGCAAGGCCAUCAGAAUAAUUUUGAUCCACGAUCCCACAUUUAUUUUGGGUCUCACAAGUUUCAAAUUUGCAGAAAAAUGAAAGAUGUUUGAGAGAAAAUUAAAUCAUAUUGCACUACUGUUAGGAAAAAUAUGGCUGAAUCCAAUUGCUUUUCUUCUCCAAGUCUAUUAAAAAUAUAAUUUUUUCUCCAUUCCUGACAAAAUUUAAAUUUUUUCCUUAAAAAAAAAAAAAUUAAGUUUGAUCACCUAACACAUCUUUCUAAACUCAAUCUCAACUUGAAAAAUCAAACCUUAAUGGAUGGACUAUAGAAAUAGUGAGAAAACACUUCUGGGGUUUUUUUUUUCUUCCAACAUCAAAUUUUUCUAUAUAUGGGAUUUCACAUGCAAAAGCAGGAGUAGAUUUGCUUGUGUUUGAUGUAUGUAUUAGAAAAAUUUGUCCCUUCUGGGAUGUUUAAUACUUUUCUAUUCUUUUAUAUGCAUGUUUAGCUAGAAGAUAUAGAAUCGAUACCAUUCCUUAAAAGUGAUAGCCACAACUGUGAUAAUUAAACACCAAAGAAUGUGAAGAUCUAUAUAUUCUUUUUUUUUUCCUCUCUCUUUCAAUAAUGAAGCUAAGAUGUGUUGUAAGCAUCAAAUGCAUUGUCUCUGCUUGAAUAUAUACAAAGCCAAGGACCACAAGAUGGAUAGAUAUGGGGACGCACAAAACUUCUCAAACAUGAUUAUAUUAAUCAAGAAUUCAACUAAGCUUAAAUUCAAGAUGUUGAUUUCUAGCAUCUCUGGUGCUAUAGGAUGACUAUUGAUCCUGUACUGUUAUGUGCCCUACUGAUAUAUUCUUCGGGUUGUUAUGUAUAAAUAAAAUUUUUGGGAAAGUUUGCUUGGUGGUUACACUAUCACUAUUUAGGCCAGUAAAAAUUGGAAGCCUUUGUAAAAAACUGAUGGUCCAAGAGCUAUUCUACUUCAUCAUCCAUGUAAUAUGACGAUACAAAUUUGACUAAAUGCAGCUAUAGAAGGCUUAGGACCAUAAACCAAGCCUAGUCGAUGUCACUCACCUAAAUUUAUGCAUAAAGCUUUUGGAUGGCUCAGAGUUAUAUUUAAUUACUGUUAUGUUCGCAACUAUAUUUUCAUUGGAUUUAUAGUCCAGCUUGAGAACUAGUCCUCCAUUGCACAUAAUGUCCACACAAGGCCACAGUGCCCGCUCAAAGGCCAUAGCGCUACUCAAGGAUAUAGUGCUUACUCAAGGCCAUAGAGCCCACCUAAGGCUAACGACCCAAAAGGAGAAAAAGGUUGGUUCCACGUACUCUAAUAUUUACUAGAAAAGGUUCUUCCUAUUAAAGAACAAAAAAUUGCAUUCCCUUGUGACCAAUCCAAACAGUAGACCACUGACUUGUAUAAGGCAUUAUUCACCAUGCAAGCACUUUUUCAGCAACCUACCAUCUGGCAUGAACCAUUUUGGAUUGAUUCACAAAGCAAUGGUGUUAUAUUAAGCAUAUUCAAUAUAGAACCAAAUUGUGCCUCCUUAGAUUAACUAAAAUAUUUCCAUUGCAAGAUGUGCAGAUAGGCAUAUGAUCAUGAAGUAAUUUCCUGAUGAUAAUACCCCACAAAAUAUUUCUUUUUCUCACUGAUCUCUCCUAGAUUUUCAGUUCACCCAUCCAUGGCGCCUGACUAAAAAUGGGGGCAUUUUGGAUACCCCGAGCAGUAAGUUAGCCUGGUAGGCAUCCCGUUGCAAGCAAAGUCAACCCGAGCGGUCCAUUUGACCAAAGCUUAUCCAGGCAGUAAGCGUCCAUAUACAGCUAACUGUUAUGCACCAUCAACAGGUUGAGGUUACAAGAUUAAAGAGUCAUAAUGGCCAAAUGGAAGUUACACGACUCGGCCUAUAUAAUAACAGUAUGACAAAAAAUGCAGGUAUGAAGAACUAUCACUGAAAAAAUUUAUUCCUAAAAAUCCUUUAAGCUCCUUUAAGCUAACUUGGGCAUUGGAGAGGUCUCUCCGAAGCACACUCGAGCUUACCUUUUUGUAAGACAUCGAGAACAAGAGGCAUUGAAGUGAUUGUCCGGAGGGUUGAACUUGGUCGGGAACCAACAAUACACACUAUUCAAAAAUAGGGAUCAUAUUAAAUUAUUAAUGCAACCAUAGGAAGCAAUUGAGGACAAGGGUGUUAUUUGAUUAAAAGGGUAAUUGAAAACCUAAAUUUUGAAAUUUAACCCUCCAUUCUAUUUGGCCUUAUGUGAACAAAAAUGCCUUCAUUAUUUUCUUGUAAAAAUAACUCACCCAUUUAAACCUUACAUGAAAAUACUUAAAAUGGUAAAUGAUAUGUUAAAAAUUGAUUAUUUUUCAAAUAAAACAUAAGAAGGGUCAAAUUCAUGAAAGGAUUAUUUCAUCCCUUUUAAUCAAUUAAUUCGAUUUAUUUCUUUUUAUUUUUUUUCUCUCCAUGUUAAUUUUCACAUCACCCAACAACACCACUCUUAAUUCACACAAGUUUGAAGUUUUUGAAUGAGAUAUAUUCGUAAUUAUAUUGUAAUUGUGUUAUAAUAACCAUUUCGUACUUGGAUUUGUUCUUUCAGUCCAUUUAACCUUUUUGUUUAUUCAUGUCAAAACAAUGUACUUAUAAUCGAAUCCAUUUAUGACAUGUUGAUCUUAUAUAAAUUUAUUAAUUUUAUAUAUUUAAAAAUUAUAAAAAUUAAAUAUACUUUUUCAAUUAUGAAUAUCAUAUUACUAAAAUAUUAAAUAACAAAUUAACUUGAAAUGCUAUAUAUUUCAUUAAUUAUUUUAUAAUUAAAACAUUAAAUGAAAUAAUAAACAAGUAUAAAAUAGAAAAUUCUAUCUUAGUUAGAAAUUAUAAACUGUUAUUGAGACAUAUAAGUAUUAAAAUUCUACCCAUUUCACUACCAAACAACUUAUGUUUUUAGUCAUAAUUUAACCUUAUGAUGAACACUUAAAUAAAAUUUGUCAUCUUUUUCUAUUGAUUUAUAUUUAUUUAUUUAAAAAUUUUGUCUGGCAUAAACUAUCAUCUCACAAAAUCAUCAUUGAUGAGUAGGCUAUGCCCCAGUGUAAGCAUCUCCAAAUCAAACAUCAAUGAGAGGAGUACAACCAAUCAUACAUCAUCUUAUCAAAAUGAAUCUCCGCUUUUCAAAGUCAUCGUGGUAACGUGAAGAGAGUAUUUGACCUCCUCUAAAGAAAAAACAUGUCUUGAUGUGAAAAAGAUCAAGCAAAGUGGUAUGCCUCAACAAAAAUGUGCUCAAACAUGAUCAUGCCCCGAUGUAAGUUAGUAUCUCUAAGAUCAAUCGCCAAUGAAAAGGUUAUUCCCCAGUAUAGGGCAAACUCUGAAAUGACUAAACUCCGUUGCAAGCUCUCAUAAGUGUCUGUGUCAUGAUCCAAUCAUCGCAAAAAUUUGUCAACAAUGAUGAGAAGGCUAUGCUCCUAUAAUCACAUCAAAGAAAUCACUCGGUCAUAUUACUCCAAUGUGAAAGAAAUCUAAUCACCUCCAAGGAACAGCUAUGCCUCAAAACCAUCAUCGACUGAGAGGGGGAUGCCCCUGAUCCAAUCACCACCCUAACUAACGUACCCAUCAUGAGGAACACUUGUUUGAGCUCCAUAAUGGGGAUCAACCAUUAGAUGAACAAGAUUCGAAUAUUACUUGCUCCCCAUUUCAACCAAUGAAUGAUGUACCUGGAAACCUUGUAGACAACCAUAGUUUUCAGCCUUCUUCCUCGCGAUCAUCUAGAACAGAGUCGGUAAGCUUCACUCAUUUCUUAUAAUGGACCUUGACCCACAACGUCGAACUACCUGUAUGCAAAAUUAUCCGUCCAGAAAACCCAUCCAUACAAUUCAGGUUCAAAACCCACAAGAACCACCCUAUGAAUAAACUAAUUAUAGCUGGCUUCGUUGCAAUAGGCAUUAACUUUCUUAUGCUGACAGUCCUAGCAUCAUUUACCAAAGGAUCAACAACUUUUCCAUGUCAGAGAACAUUAUCAAUCACAAUGACACCCCUGGUCCUCACUAGUUGCGAUAGCAAUUUAAAGUAUUCUUGAUUCAAAGGGUAAACAAAACAAAAAAGAAAACCCUAAGUGUGACUCCUUAUUUGAAAAAUGUGGUUUAUGAAAAACCGGAUCGAGCUUAGGGGUCAGGUUACUUAUCGGGAAGGUACAAAAAAAACCGUAGCACCCCUCUAAGUCCCUAAAAUGGGUCUCUAUUGAUAAAAUGAAGCAAUCAUGGCAAUUGGUAAGGAAAUCAUUGAGUAUCAACAUGAUCACACAUUGAGAGUUAAAGCAUGCAUGAGGAAUGGUCAAAGUGAGAAAGGAUGCGUACCUUAGCAACGAGUCCCAAUGCGCUAUCAAGAAAUUGGGUUAGUGCACAAUCAAUAAAUAUAAAAUAUAACACACAUGCAUCACUAAAUAGGGUAAUAAAUCCCCGAUGACAAACCUUGCACUUCACUCAGGUUUAUUUCUACUUCUCUGAUGUUGGGCCCCACCAAAGCUCAUUUUAUUUUGCAUGAAUCAACUCCAAUAACUCCAUUAUUCGGAAUUACGAAAUUUAAUUCUUGCUUAUUUUAAAGCAUUUUAAAAAUAGAGGAGAUAUGAGAAUUGCUCGCCAGAAAAGAAGAUGGCGGCAAAAUUUUAAUGAAAAACGAGUUUUUGGAACCUAAGAAAAAUGUUAAGGAUGGAAAAUUUUGGAGGUUUGAAAUUAAUUAAAAAUUAGAAUUGAGGAAUUUAUUUACAAAAUGGGGUUUAGGAAAAUUAUUUUCAAAAAAAAAAAAUGAUGAAAUGAGAGAUGGCACGUGACACAAGGGUGGCCAUGCUGAAGGCGUUCUCUUCUGGCCCAAGCUGGAAAUGCACUCCAAUUAUCCUUCUUUUCUGGUAUAACACCUUCAUCAAAAUAAAUAGCUUUUGCACCAUACUCUGAUAGACAAGGACCAAUAACAAUGCCUAUAUUUGCCUUAAGUAGACAAAGUAAGUCACCCAUUGAACCUCCAAUAUAAAUUGUCAAGUGCUCUGUGUCAUUACUGCAUCCCUCCUUCAAGAUGUCCUUAGAAACCUAAAGCUUUUCCACGACAUACUCCAUCUUCUUAAUGAUUUCACCCGUGGAAAUGGAUUCUUCACAAGCCAACUCAUUUGAAUAUACUCUCAAAACACCCAUAUCACCUGAUGAAAAUGCUGAUCUAACGAAAUCGCCACACCAACAGUAUGAAAGUCCAUGAACAUCUGCUUUCAGAUUAUUAUUUUUAAGAAUCUUUUGGAAGAAACCUGUGCAACCAUCUUGAAGAAUUAGACCUUGACCAACCUGUUUUAUAUCAUCUGAAUUUAAACCCUUCAAUACUCCAGACUGAGUCACUCUUGAAUCUGCCUUUUCCUCAAAAUCAGAAAGUUGCUCAAGUGCUUUACAUAAGCCUUCAUAAUUGAAUUUUUCCACUGUUUCACUGGGGACGAUGCUUCCCAUGCAUUUUUCAAGCUCUUCAGUAUGCUGGGUAGAUAGAACACCCCAUGUGUGUGUCCAGAUCACCAUGAGUGACCAUUUGAACCUUGACGAAUGAGAGAGUACAUAACAUUUAAGCACACAGGACAUAUAUUAACAUUCUCCAUUAGCUUCUCUUUGCCUUUGUCCACCUCUUGACCUCCCAUGCAGCCAACUGUGAAGACCACGUCCAGGUGCAGUCACGUGGUGACACAUCUCAUGGUCUUCCUCAUCCAAUAAAUCACAUGCUCUGUUAAAUCUGCUACCCGAAUGGAUACCUCCUAUCCAUCAACCUGAAUAUACUCCGAGCUUUCUUCAUAAAACCCAAGAAACUCCAGAAGGCAUCAUGGUUCUCCUCCAUCAUUGAAAUGAUUAGGGAUAGUAAAUCACUCAUCCCUUAGCAAUAUCCCAUUUUUAAACCAUAGGGUGCGUAGGCUUCUAGAAUAGUAGCAAAGUGAGCAACACGGAAAAUCUUGCGUGGAUCCAAGUUCCAUGAUGGUGAUCGUAGCCUCACCUUUGAAAUCACAAGACCCAGAACCCAUUCGUUCUUCCUGGUAAUAACUAUCAGAUGCAUAGGAGGCAGGGUUCUUCAGAUUGUUGAUUUGGUAAAAGCCUCUUCUGGUUGAACCCCUGAAUGAUUCACUUUUCUCAGUCCGCAAACCUAGUUCAGAACAGCCCGCAAGAUCAGAACCUUAACCUAGGCGUGGAGAUCCAGUGUUGUAUAACGCCUCAAUUGUCGGAAGCAGCCAUGGCCCAAACAAUGAUAUAAUGGUCAGCAAGUUGUCCCCAAGGACCAUGACAGUGAUGAGCAUUUCCGGGCAGCGCGUCACCACGUUCCACGUCGCGACGGUAAUGGCUAUGGACUGAGUGUCAUGGUCAGGGAGCUUGAUGAAGCAGGUGAAAAUCUGGUGUUUUAGAUUCUGAGGCAAUGACUGCUUGAUCGGUCGGAUUCUAGUACCGGCGUUACAUUGGGGAGGCAAUCUUAAAGUUCCAACGGAGGUAGUAGUGGACUAAUAUUCCUCAAUAACCAAACUUGAGUUUCUCACUUUCCGCUUCUCAAGGCAUUCACCUGAAACGCUUCAGGCGCCCAAACCCUUUCUGCUCAUCAGUAUAAUCACGCGCAUGAAAGUCUUAACUGCCUUCUAAACUUCACAACUUCAUCUUGCAUCUGGGUCAUCGUCGGCACGAACUUAUCACCUGAUUCAGUUAAUAUCCCCAUAUAACAAGUUCCAAUGAAGUCGCAACUUUGCAUCUUCUUUUCUGCGAUUACUUUGAUUCUCAAAGCCGAUUACUUGUUGCAGUCCAUAGGAGAUUCAAUAAUCAAACAUCAUGCACAAGCAAAAAGGCAACAAAAUACAUCGGCAUGUGGCCCAUACACCCUCCAAAAUCUUCACUCAUUUAGUAAGUUUUAGAUUCAAAAGAGUUAGCCUUCUGGUGAGCAACCCGAUACCCAUAACGAAUGAUGUAUCUGAAACACCUUUCCCACGUGGCCCUUGAAGGAUUCACUAGAAGGUGACCAUGCAUAGUAGGUCUUCACUCGCAGGAGAAUGAGAAGGAAAUAAACCUAAAGGGGGGUUGACAGCGUAGUCUAGAAGGUGAUGAGCUGAGCGGGUGGGGGUAUUAGGGUGGUCAAGUUCAGUGGGUAUGAAGGGUGGAAAGAUGGCAUGAUAGAGGAAUAAGCAGCUGAUAGUGGGUGCGAUGAUAUAAGGUAGGUUGACUAUGGAGAGUAUGGCAUUAAAGGAUGAAGACUUAGAGAGAGAGAGGUGGGUUUAAGGGUAUGGUGAGAUGGAGGGUUGAGGGUGAUAGGCUUGGAUAGUUGCAUGAGGAGGAUGAAAGGUGGGUAUGGAAAAUGUGCAUGGGUAGGAAAUGGGUAUAACAAUGGGUGUGAAUAUUGAGAGGUAGUGAAAUGAAGGCAGCCUUGCUCGUAUGGAUCAGUGUCGGAUUGAGUUAAGAAUGGUGAGAGAAAGGGAUUCGAUGAAUAUUGAAUGAUGGAAAAUGGUGAUUGGUUAGAUAGGGAUUUGUGGUCGAAUGGAAAUAGGAGACAUGAACAUAGAGAUGAGUGUGAUGGAUGAUAGUGGGCAUGAAGGGUAUUGGAUUUGUUCAUGGGUAUAGUGGUUAAAAGAGUGGUGAGAAGAAAAAAAAAUGGCCAUGUAAAUAGCAAUUAUACAUGUGGGCCCGUGAUUGCAAACGGGACUGCAUUGUUGCAUCUCAUGCUGAACCCUCACCUCCUUCUAGGAUCAUUUUCUGCAUCAAAGCUAGAUAAACUUAGAUGGUAUUUCCUGCCAAUUUUGGAUGCCCCCCACUUUGGAAAUAUUUCCUUUUCACCCAUCAGAAUAUGCUUAUCAGGUGUACUUGACUCAGGUUCAUUCCCAUAUUGCCUCUCUGAUUUAUGAUCUUCAAAGGUUUUGCAUGAAGGAAGCCUUUCACUGCAUUCCCCUUCAUCCACCAGACCUUCAGAGCAUCGUUUCCAACAAAAGCAACCUUGACUCUUCUAGUCCCAUCAGAAAAAAGUCUGAAUAUCCUCAGUUUAUGUCAUCCCUUGAUGCCCAACUCAGAAAUGAUCCAAAAAACAGUCAUCUCCCAUAUUUGGCUUCCCAGAAACACCUCGACUCAGAUGGCCAGUCCAAAUGUGAUACCCAACAUUCUAAAAAUGCUAAAAACAGAGGAGAUGAUGAAGAAAAACAGAGCAUGUAUAAAAGAAAAAAAAAAGGACUGUUAAAUCUCACUCCAUUCCAUAAAUGCUAAUGGGGUGGAUAUGGUGGAAUCAAAAGGAAGCAAGAGCGUGAUCUUCAAAAUCAAAAGCAAUGAUGGAUCCAUAUUCAAAACGUUCCAGAAUAGAGAAAGACACAAAUAAGGAGCAGGGUUUUUUUUUGUUACUGGCAGGAAGAUAUUUUUUCUAGAGAGUAACUAGAGAGAAAAAUAGGAAGAAAAGGGAAGAGCAUAGAAGACAUCUACAUAGGAGAGUAUUCAUUGUUGUGAGGAGUAGUAGAGAGCUUAGGAGGAGUUACAAAGAGAGUGAGUUUGGUUAGAGGAGGAAGUUUUGUUGGUUUUUCAGAAAGGAUUCUAGCUUGAGUGAGAGCCAUUCUAGAGAGGGUUAGAGAGGAGAAAGGUGUGUUUUGAGCAGCAAAGACACGAAGCAAAAUAGAGCAGCCAGGAAAGAGAAGCAGAAAAUCAAAAUUACUAAAAAAUUAGUGAAAGCUGUGAAAUUUCAUAUUGUUACUAAUUAUUAUAAUUUUUUUUUGUAUUUUCAAUAUUUCAACCAAUAUUUUAUAUAAUUAAAUUUAAAUUAUAAGAAUUAUAUUAUUAAUACACAUAACUAUCUUAAUGUUUUAACAAUGUAUACUUAUUUAAAUUUAUUUCAAUUUUUUUAUUUUUUUAUAAAUAUCUAAUUAGACUUAUAAUUCAUUGAAAUUAUUCAUUUUUUUUUUACUUCAUAAACCAAUUAUAUUACUUUUUGUAUUUUCAAUAUUCAUUUGGAAAAAAUAAUUUCAAUUUAAAAUAAAAUAAAUUAAUUAACUCUCAAUUUAUAAAUUGUGUCAUUGAAUUAUUUUUUAUUUAUAAUAUUUAGUUUAUUUUAAAUUUAAUUUUUUUUCUUCACCUUUUGGUUUAUCACUUUAUAUUAAAAAAUAAAAUAAAAUUGAAUUUCUUUUAAUUUAUAUUUUCACAAAUUAUUCAAUAUUUUUUUAAUUUUUAUAAAAUAAAUCCUCAGAUUAUAUAAUUGGAUGUUGUAAAGAGUUAAAAUUUUUGUGUUGCAUUGAAUUAUUUUUUCUAACAAAAGUAUAUUUGGGUACCGUAGACAUUAUAUCCAUAUCUUAACGUAUUAUAUACUUUUAUUUUGUGCAAUUAGCAAUUGAGCGGAAGACGCGGAGCCGGCUAACGGAAAUACCGCGUGUCACGCGUGUCCCUUCCCGUACCAAGUCUCAACUGCUUCAAGAUUUCCGACGCGCCCUUCUUCGCUUAACUCUUAAGUCUUUUCUUCCACUCUUCCUUAAACCCAUCACAUUUCGCCGCGUGGACCUAAGUCUCAAUGUCCUUGUGUUCAUACGAUGUAUGUUCCCCCAAUUCCUCAUCUACACUGAAACUCCAUACUCGCCUACUCAAUCACUUCUCUACUCUAGAGUCUGGAUGCUUAUCUCUGCGCGUGUCGAUGGCUCUUCACCCCAGCGAGUAUGGCAUUACAAGGGCAAUAUCGUCAUUAAAGACACAACAGAGUGUCUAUUUUAUUUAAGCUGUACGUAAUCGUGAUUGACUUCUUAGUAUCCUUUUGCUCCUAGUCUUCUCCCGCGUCUCUUAUAAAAACUAAAGAAAACCACUCCAAGAGAGCACACUACAAGAAUCUUCUUCCUUUUUUUCUUUCCUCUUUCUCUUUACAGAUAAACUGAGAAAGCCCAGCUCAUCCCUCAAUUCCCAGAUGGGUUUCAUGAAUGUUCUCAAGUUCUCAGCUGCAUGCUUUGAUCUUCUUGGCUGGUAUGUUGUCCACGCGUUUUCUUGCCAUUGGAAAUUUUUGGGAAAUGAAGUGGAAUUCUCUGUUUGAGGACAAACAUGGGAUUUUCUUUGAUUUCUCCCUGUUGGUUUUAUCUAUAUUCUUUGAAUUACCCACAUUCUUGUCAUUGAUUGUUAGUCAUUUGUUUGGAUUUCUACUUGCAGGCCUCUAUGUGCACUGGGUUAUCCUCUGUAAGUCUUGGUCUUACACCUCAAGAUAUGAUGAUUCAUUUACUCUUUUCUUGUUCUACGAAUGGUUCAGUUACAUUUAUUGUGUUGGGAAACUGAAAAGGAAAAGGAUUAUUAGUUAUUAUCGUAAUAAUCAUCAACAUCAUCUCGGUUCUUCACAGAUGUGCUUCAAUUCGGGCAAUUGAGACUAACUCAAUCUCAGACUUUCGGAAGUUGGUGGCGUAUUGGGUUCUAUUUUCCUUGAUUUCACUCUUUGAUCAUGCUUUUUCCAAGCUCCUUGAAUGGUAAUUUUGCUCAACUGCAUUCCACUAUAUGUGACUCUGUUUGUUUCAUUUCUUUGCCCUUAAGGAAUUUGGAGUUGCUUUUUUCAGUUUUCUUUCCUAUGAAAAUAAUCGAGAGGUCUCCAUGUAUUUUAUAUUCCUUCAUUUCUCUGCUUUGACAAAGGCCCACAUUCUGAUCAGCAGAAAGGUUAUAACAUUUGAAAAAGAAGUGCUUUAUUUUUGUUUUUUGUUAGUACAAUAAUUUUCGUUUGGAUAAAUGGUCUGAAGGGUGUUUGUGUUUGGCUGAGUUCAUGGAAUUUUCUAGCUAAUUUGGGAUUUAUUCUCAAUUUCAAGAUCAUUGUGGAUAUGUCAGAAAUUAAUGAAAUAUAAACGGUGGAAUGUGAUUUUCUUGUUUAAGAAAAGUUUUUCUUUGAAAAUACGGGUGCACCUGACCUACCUUAUUGUGCUACUUGGAACACAAAACAUUAGUACAGGUAAUUUAUUAACUAAAUUGUACACUUUUUGAUAGUUCAAGGAGGUGGUUUUCUUCUUUUAGGGUGUCAGCUUUGGAAAUAGGAUGGAUCUAAAAGUUUUUAUGUCUCAUCUUUAUAGGGAACUUGAAAGCAUGGAUGCACUUAUUUCCAUGGAAUUUGGCUUCCUUGAAAUCAAAUUAAGCUUUAUGCAUCAUUUGGAUGCUGAGAAACAAAUGGAAAUAGAAAAUUCAGAAUCUGACAAGUUUUUGUAGGGCAACUGGAUCUAAUCUCUUAGUCGAAGCCUAAUUGGGGCAAAUGCUGAUCAUCUUUGGACCCCAUUGAAAGCUCUAAUCUGUGCACAAUUCUAAUGUUUUUGUUUUCUUCAUUUCUUUUUCAACUUUUCACAAUAGAUGUCAAAGGUUAAAACCAAAUUUACGCAGUCCAUCCAAGUGGAUGCAUAUAAAUUUAACAGAAACUGAAAUUCGAAGAAAUUUAUUUUCCCUUUUGUAAAUGGUGUUUAAAUAUUUUAUUUUCUUAUAUAAUGCAUGUCAGGGUACCAUUCUGGCCUUACAUAAAGCUGAUGGUCAUCUGCUGGCUGGUGAUACAGCAGUUUGAUGGUUCAUAUUAUGUCUAUCAACACCUAGUUCAGCCAUGCUUGUCCAUGGAUCCACAAGCUGUCAUGAACUGGCUCUUCAAUGAAUCAAAAAAGAAGUUUCAUAGCAGAGAAAACUUUCUUGUUUCAGCAGACCGAUAUAUUAAGGAGAAUGGACCUGAAGCUUUGGAGAAACUACUUUCUAGGAAGGUAUGCCAUUAUAAGUAGGAUUAUCAACAAGUCAAACAGAGUUUUAUUUGAGAUGUUCAGGUAAAAAAUGACUAUAGUAGGUCAUCUAGAAUCAUUUGGUCUAAAUUCAUGUAUAUAUCUAUAUAUAAUUGUGUUCUCUUUUUUUCACAUAUGCAUGUGCAUUUAGAUUUACAUAAUUAUAUAUGCAUAAUCAGAUUCAACUGUGAUAGCCCGGAAUUAUUUCAGUAAUCAACUCUUCUGGGAACAUGUUGGUUAUGGUUUCUCUCUCACUGUCCUCUUCUUUAUACAUGACUUUGGCUUCAGUUGAGGAGCGCAAAGCCUAAUGUUGAAGUGAAAAAGAUCAAAGCACCUGCAGCACCGGAGAAAAAAGGGGAACAGGUAAGUUCUCUAAUGUGACUAUUUAAUUUCUAUGAGGCAGAUCCCCAGAGAAAUGUUGCUCAUGUAAAUUACUGAUGCAUUUGAUUCAAUGGCAUGGUUUUAAAAGAAAAACCACUUUAUGUAUGUUUCUGUGAAUAAGAGAACAAGUUUAUGGAUUAAAUGAUAUUUUUUAUGGUGGAUUAAUCAAUAAUUUUCAAAAUAAUAAUAUAUUCGUGCAUGUUUUUGCAAUUCAUGAAUUCCUUUUAUGAUUGAUUCUUCUUGCCUUUUUUCUCACCUCAGUGGAAGUGUGAAGAGCCUAAUGUUGCUCAAAAGGAGAUCCAAGUUGUCAAAGUAACAGAGAUAAAAAAUGGGGGGGAUGGAGCAAAGAGGGUAAGUUUUGCUUUUUAUUUAUAAAGUAGGCUGUCUUCACACAAGGAUUAUUAUCUUUAAGACAUGAAUGUUGAAUGCUUUUGGAAUUGUCCAUGAAUCAUGUGUAGUGUGAAUGGCCUAAUGCUGCUAAGAAGGAGGUCAAAGUGACAGAAGUAACACACAGAACAUUCGGUGGUACAGCACAGUGGGUAAGGUUUCAUGUCAUAUUUAAAUGGCUCCUCAUAUUUCACUAGGAUUAAUUUUGCCCCUACAAACAUAUUUGGCUACAAGUUAAGACAGAGUUCCAGAUGCUGAUAAAGUUGAGACAUAAGUAAUGAAUGAGUUUAGAAACAUGCACAACUCUUGUGUGAAACACAAUGAGAGUGGAAAAUAGCUAAGUUGAAAAAUGGCCAAAUACUAUUUUGUAGUUCCCCCUACCACUUAAGUAAUUUUUGUCAUCCUUUGUGAAUGGAAAAUCCAGUCCCUUCAGUAAUUCCGUUAUAUUCAUGACUUGGUGAAGCAUAUAACCAUUAGUGUCUUGCCUUAAGUCGACCUUUAAUGAUGAUCCAUUGAGAUGGGUCUGACUUUUGUCAACCCUCUUAUUCCCUUGAUCAUAGAGGUUAAACUUAGGGGGCUUAACCCACUUUUGAACCUUAUUGGAUAUAUGGCACAUGGUAUCCUCUUCAUCUUGAAAGAGUGAAGUGGUCAUACUCUUUCCUCUGAGUCCAUUGUGGCCAUGCACUUCUGGCCCAUUGGGCUGAGUGAAAGGAUUCCCUUCUGCUUCAAAUCAUAGAGAGAUAUGCCAUGGUCAGCCUCUUUAAUUCAAGGGAUCGAAGUACUCAAAUCCAUUUCUCUGCAUCCAUCUUAAUUCUGCAUUCAUGUCUCAUGGUUAACCAAGAAGAUCCAGCUUCCAUCCAUGAGAUCAGCAUCUGCAGGUUUAUGACACCACCCUUCCUUGGCAUAGGAAAGGGAUCAUUAAGCCAUGUGUUGGAUGACAGAAGUCAUCAUUCAGGUUAUCUUGAGAACUAAGGAAGUUGGAAUUCUAAUUAUUGCAUAUGGUUCUUGAUGUUUAGCCAAUAUACCGUAGGAUUUUAAGGAUCAUGCUCAUGUGCAUUGUGGUUGUUUAUCAGCUAUAUGGUUUACCAAAAUGAGGGACUGAUUAUGGUCAUAAGUACCUUUUUCCUAUUAAUUUCUUGCAUGUGCUCUGCUGAGAUUAUGUUUUUGACAGUCCAAAUCAGGGCAAACCAACAAACAGCUUUAUGUUAACUUUUACAAACUGCCACAUUUUCAGGUUAAACGAACAGAGAUAAAUCUUGGUGAAACUAGAAGUAAUACAACUUGUGCUGUGGAGAUAAAAGAAAGGGCAGCGGCACUGGUGGCUGCAGAAAUUGAGGCAUGUAGAGACGAUAGAACCCCCAAGAUACCUCUUCAUGAGAAAGUCCAGAAAGAGUGGGCUUGUGCUGUAUGCCAGGUCACAACCCAAAGUGAAGCGACCUUCAAUUCCCACCUUCAAGGGAAGAGACAUCAGGCCACUUCUGAGCAGCUGAGAGCCAAAAACCAGGCAACCAAAACCAAUUGUUCCCCAUCUGCUUCAAUGGCCAAGAAAUCUGAUCAGUCCACCAAAGAGGAGCAACCGAAGUGUACUUCCAACAAUCUGAAUUCCAAAAACAAUGGAAUCUCAGCUGCUUCAACAGUGAAGAAACCUGAUGACACCAAAGAUGAUGAGCGACAAAAGUCUGCAUCUAGCAAUGAACCGAACCAGAAGAAUAACAAAAAGCAAGAGGUACAGACCAAUGAGCAAGGCCAUCAGAAGAACUUAAAGCAAACUGGCGAUGGAAUGAAAGAGUUGAGAUUAUGCUGCAAUAUCUGUAAUGUAAGCUGCACAAGUGAGCUUGACAUGGCCUCUCAUCUCAAUGGAUGGAGGCACUUUAAUAUGAUAAAGGAGGCGUCUGAAUUAUGGUGCAGUAACUGCAAUGUAAGGUGCAACAGUGAGGCUGUCAUGGCCUCUCACCGAAAUGGGAGGAGGCACUUGAAGCAGCUGAAGGAACGGUCGGGAUUAUAGUGCAGUAUCUGUAGCGUGAGAUUGUGUUAGGAAGAGGUGGAAUGGGUUCCAAUCAGGAAUUAAGACUCGGUUCCAAGACAUGGAAAGUGUCUUUAGAUUAUGUUAUCUCCAUUUUUUUUAUUGUGAGAGGGGAGUAUAAGGAAUGAAAAUAAAUAUAUAUAUAUUUUUUAAUAGAGAUGAAUUUGAUAAUUUUAAUUAUUGUGUUUUGAUGUAUUUAGGAAUGUAAAAUUAAAAUAAUUAUUUAUUUUCAUUUUAGUAUUUGACAAUAAUAAAAUUAUGAAUUAAAAAAUAAUGUGAUAAUAAUACAUUUAUAUUUAAUUUAAAAUAUUUUUUAUUUUAUUUUAGAAGAAUAUGGGUUAAAUUCUUUUUUUAAAUAAUAAGCUUAAGAAAAAUAAUUUUUACUCAAUAAAUAAAAUUAAUCAUAAAAAGUCAUAACAACCUAAUAAAAAUAUAGGGGUAAAAUAAUAAUUUUAAAAUAUUAUUUAAGUUAUCCAAACAAAUUUGACUCUUCAUUCUCUCUCUUGAACCAAAUACGGUCUUUUAAGCGUUUGUCAACUUAUUUUUUUUUGCAAAAUAUCAAUAUUUUACUAAUAUUUUUAUCGAUUAUUUGCCAAUAUUUAUCGCCACGUCACCAAUUCUUUGAGUUUGACUUUCAAAAUUUUGAAAUGAUAUUUGAAGUCCAGUUCAGCCCAAAUCACUACACCCAUGAUUUUUCCCUUUUCUUUUUCUCCUUAAUUUUCACAUCACCCAACAACACUACUCUUAAUUCACACAAAUUUGAAGGUUUGGAACGAGACUUCUUCCUAAUUAUAUUGUAAUUAUGUUAUAAUAACCAUGUCGUAUUUGGAUUUAUUUAUUCAGUCCAUCUAAAUCUUUUGUUUAUUCAUGUAAAAAGAAUAUAGUUAUAAUCGAAUCCAUUUGUGACAUAUUCAUCUUUUAUAAAUUUAUUAAUUUUAUAUAUUUAAAAACUAUAAAAAUUAAAUAUAUUUUUUCAAUUAUGAAUAUCAUAUUACUAAAAUAUUAAAUAACUAAUUAACUUGAAAUGUUUUAUAUUUCAUUCAUUAUUUUAUAAUUACAACAUUAAGUGAAAUAAUAAAUAGGUUAAAAUAUAUAUUUUAUUUUAGUUAAAAAUUAUAAAUUGUUAUUGAGACGUAUAACUAUUAAAAUUCUACCCAUUUGACCAUCAAACAAACAACUUAAGUUUUUAGUCAUAAUUUAAGCUUCUGAUAAACUCUAUUUCCAUAAAUUAGAAACCGAAAUCAAUUUCUUCUUAGACUCAAAAACAUAAAGACAAUCUUUUAAUUCUAGAAGACAUCUAUCAUUUAAGAUAAGGGUAACAUAUCCCAUUGCCUAAACAACAACUCUUGCUUCAAAAGCCAAUGUCAAGUACAUAUCCCUAUCAUUCAACCUUUCCCUUAGCUAAAACCCCUAUAAAGAAUUAUAAACAUAAUCAAUGGCUCCAAAAUUUAUCCACCAAGAGUUAGUGGAAUCCAACACUAAACAUAAUUCAACUAUAAGAGAAUGAUGCAUAGUUGACUAUCUCUUCAAGAACUAAGGACAUUCCUUCUUCUUCUAAUGGCAUUUUUUACCACAAAGGAAACACUUGUCAUGACCCUUACUCUUCUUCUUCUUCCCCUUAGCCUUAAACUUCCCCUUCUGCUUGAUGAACUCUAUAGUGUUCUUCUUAUUUUGGCUAGAAAAACCUAAAGAACCCUUAACUGCCAUAUAAAUACCUCUCUGGUCCUUGAGAAUUCCCUCAGUCAUUUUGUGUUCUCUCAUUAGUUCAAUUGUAGUUUAAGAAAAAUAAUGUUUUUUAUUUUAUUUUAUGUGAUUGAACUUGGAAUGAAUUUCCAAGUUGCAUACAUACUUGGGUUGAGAUCAAGUCAUAACGUAGUUUAAGAAAAAGAUUUUUUAUUUUUUAUGUGAUUGAACUUGGAAUGAAUCUCUAAGCUACCUACGUAUCCAAGAUGGGAUCAAGUUCUAACAUAGUCACAAUGCAGUUCAAGAUUUUUUUUUUUCUUUUUUUGUGCUCUAACUUUUGUCAAGACUAAAGAUCUUAAUCUUGCAAGCAUGUCCUAACUUUUGUCUAGGUCACCUUUCCAAGUUUUCAACUUAGCAAACAUUUUUUUUUUUUGUUCUCUAACGUUUGCCAAGACAAAAGAUUUUAAUCUUGCAAGCAUGUCAUAACUUUUACCUAAGUCAGAUUUUUAGGUUUUCAAUGUGGUGGAUUUUUUUGUUUUUUAUUUUUUAUUUUUUAUUUUUUGUGUCGUAGGCAAUUUAGCUCAUACGGCCCAGAAGCGAUGUGUAGUUUGUUGGGAUUCAACCCUUAAAAGCAAAACAUGAUGUAACAAAGUUAGACUUAACUAUCCCCUUGCUAUCAUUUUGGUGUAUUAACAUUGAUUUAAACAUUCAACUCAUAUUUUACAUUGUACAUGACUUAGGUGCAUUAGGAGUUGCUCAUAAGAUACAUGGAUUCCUUGUAAGUAGAUGAGUUAUCCAUAGUCAGUUCAUGGAUUUGGGCAAUCUAGUAGAGACUGUAAUGCACCACCUCUUAAUUGAAGAGAUGACUUGUCUUGACAGUUGGGAUAGGUUUCCUAUGGUGAGUGCACUAGUAUAUAUGAUGCACAUUGGAUAGGACCUACGGUAAAUCAUGAGCAAAGCUAUCAAUUGUCAUGAUUCACCAAGUUACGAUACUGCAUGGACUCUCAAUCUUGAGAGGACAUUGAACCUGUGCCAAAAUCAACAAAAAGCUUUCACCUAUAGAUGAGACCUUAAAGUGAUCAUAUAUCCCUAUGGAUUGAGUCACUAUUGAUGAAGGUUGGUGGUAAUAGGUAUUCUCAAUAGAGGCACCAUGAUAUCUCAUGAGAUUGAGACGGUGUGUCCCCUUGGGUGAUACAAAGGACAUGUGAUCAUAAAAUCUGUGACCAUAGUAAUUCUUUUAUUGAAAUUUGACAUAUACCCCUUCGAGCUAGAGUAUGUCAGUUGAUUACAUAAUAAGUGGCAUCUAUAACUUAAGGAUUUGAGAGGUAAUCUUGAUAGGUGAUAGCACUACCUUGUUAGAUUAUGGACACCAGUUCAUGGGGAAUCUACAUGCAGUGGAUGAUAUGUCACGAACGCGAGCUUCAUAUCGUUGUUAUUAACAUAGGAUACUGGAGUGCAAUUGAUUCUCUUUAGUAGAAUGUUGAAUCAACUUCAAAAUGGAUUAUGAGGGAGCCAAUACUCCUAUGGGUCUUAAUGGUCCCCACUCUGAGCUCAUAUACCAUGAUGACACAGUUUAUGAGGGUUUGAUUGGCUUUAUGUUCAUUUUUGUGCAUAAGGGCAUUUUGGUAAUUACACAAGGUUACAUAGGGGAUAGUCAAUAAGGUCUUUAGAUUGGGCCAAUUGAUUAAUUAGAUGACCUUAUGUGGUUAAUUAAUCAAUUAUGAUAUGUUUAGGCUAGAUUAAAUGACCCAAGCCUUGAUGAAUUUAAGUCACUUAAGCCUAGCAGAUAACCUUAUAAAUACCCUCUUAUGGGUUAGGGUUUCCUAAUGACUUUCAGUUAAUCAUCUUCCAUCCCUAGAAAGAGAAAGAGAGCCAAAUCUUUCUCCCUUCCAUUGCCCACACUUUGGUAUGCCAAGAUCAUGGUUCAAGUCACUGGGAGGAAGAUCUUGGGUGUACAAGACCUUCGGACUCUUUAAGUUUCUUCUUCGUUGGAUGAAUUUUUAUUUGGGACACAUCUAGAUCAUAAGUAUGUGUUAGAAAAUUUGGCUAAUUCAACUUAAGGUAAUCACUCUAGAGGAGGGGUGAAUAGGGUGAUGAUCUUUUUUUACAAAUUUAAAUUAUGUGAAUGCAAGAGACAAUUAUACUAUGCAAAUAUAUAGUAAAACCAUAUAAAAAUAAUUGCAUAUAAAGUACAAGGGUAGAAAAUAGAGAAUAUAAACACAAGAUUUUUAUAGUGGUUUGGUGCAACUCGGCCUACAUCCAUUCUCCUCUAGCUUCAAUCCCAAGUUUGAGGUUCCACUAAUUCAAGGCUUCCAACCUAACCCUUCAAGCAAUACAAUUGGAUUAUGGUUCCAAUCAAACCUUUUGGACUUUUGGCUCUAAGCACCUUUUACAAUCUUUGAUUCGUGCCUAACUGGUGUUUGCCCUGUUGAUUGGUGUUCAAUCAACUGAUGUGCUUUGAUUUCAGUCCUCAGACGAGAGUAAUCAACAAAAUUUAUAAACCUAUUUCACCAUAUACUAGGGUAGCAUUAGCUAGCAUAGCAUAGUGGCUCUAGGAUCGUCCACAGGGAUGGGUUUUCAAAUUACAAUUGAUAUUAGUUCAAAAACUGAAUUGGUGUUUUUUCUUUUCAAGGUUAGCUUUAAAAGAAAACAUAAGUAUGUGUGAAAAGGUUGGUUUUAAGUGAAACCAAAAAUAAAGUAACUGAAAUUACUUACAAAGAAAAGUGCUUCUUGGAGUUUUAGAUCACUAGGCUCAAGUUCCUUAUACAAAAAGAGAGAUUCCGAUCACUUGGAUCUUUUCCUAGCAUUGGGGAUUUAACAUAUAGUUAUUUCCCGAACCGGUGCGGUACAGAUGCUUCCCCUUAAUGGUUUCAAACACUAAAUCUCUAUCACUGAAUCAUCUUGUAAUGGUUCAUACCUCUCACCUGGUAUUGGUCAUUUAAGGUGAUCAUUAACCUUGGAUUACCCGUCAAAAGCUCGCAAAAGAUAACUAAUGAAUGUCUCCUAGGAGUCCAAAAGCUUACCAAGUGUUGGCUAUUCUAGAUAAUCCUACCUUUAAACCAUCUCCCAAAAGCUCGCAAGAGAUAAACUAGUGGAUCUCAAUGGACGGAGUCCACUUGCCUUACCAAGUGUUGGCCCAAGUGAUUUUAAGGGAUUUUAAGUUAACUAAAAAGAUAAAAACCAUUAACGGGUCACACUUUCUCUUCAUUAAAACCUGAAACAAUGAAACUUCCACUUUUGUAUACGAAACCUUACCUAGCUUCCUUCACUCCAAGAAACAAAAAGCCUAGCCACUCAUCCUCUAGGAAAACAUCCUCAGAGUUUGAUUUGGUAGAAAUAAAAAUAAAAGAGAAAACCAAAUGUGAAGGUAAGGCCGAGCAGAGCUCUGUGUAUUACUUUAUGAAAAACUAUACAAAAUUUGUCUCUAAGAGAAACUCCCCCGAGAUCUCUUUUAAAAGAAAAUUACAAUAGAUAUCAUAUAAAGAGGCUAUUCACCCCUCUUGCUAACUUCCCAACCAUGAAAACUUGUCAAUGGUGGGUUACAAGGAGAAAAUAGGGAUUUACACACAAAUAUUUGAAGAUAAACAUCAAACUGAGUCGGUGCGCAAAUAUCUCAGAUUACAAGUGGAUUUCGCAAGUUCAAACGCAACUUGCAAAAAUUUUGCAAGUUGAAAUUAUGGUUUCGCAAGUUGCGAAAUUGUCCUGCAACUAAUCAGCUCUCUGUCCUACAACAAUUCCUUUCCUCUUCCUAUUUCGCAAGUUGUGAGAAUUUCGCAAGUUGGAUUCCACAACUUGCAAAAUUGUUGGAUGGUUGAUUUCUUUUGUGAUUUUCUUCCUUGCAUCCUCAUUUGGCUUUGGCAAAGGGUUAUGAAGCUCCAAAGCUUAGUUUCUUCAUGAAUUUGAGCUUCAACUUGCUUUGCCAUGAACUAUACAAAGAUCUCCCUCAUUCUUGGAUUGCUUUGGUGAUAAAAAAGCUAUGAAAAACACCAAAACUUAACACAAUUUGAUUAGAAACGAUUGUAAGGGUCUUUAACAUGCCAAUUGAGUUAAAAGGUAAUAGCUACUACUCAAAAGUGUUUAAAAGAGUUAAUUACAAGCUAUAAAAUGACCCUUUUUGAAGUUCAACCCCUUAAGUGAUACCCCUUAAGUGAUACCCCUUAAUUCAAGAGAUGUCUUACUCUUAAACAACCCCUUAAGUGAUACCCCAUACUUGAGAUUCCCUAAGUGAUGCCUCACACUUAGAUUUUUCAUCUCAAAGAUUUACAAAUGAAGAUAGGAAAUAAUCUCACAAAAUCUUAAUACAAAACAUUAGGCUCAAAUGAUACAAGAUAAACUAUGAUUGAAUGGUGCACUAAUAAUAUGCAAGUUUUAAAACAAUGAGUACUAAAAAACACUCUCCUAAGGUUCAAAUAUAUUCAAGAAAGAUUUAAGAAGGUUAAACUCUUGAAACAAUAAAGAUUGAAACCUUUUUAUGGAGGAGAAAUGCCAAACUAGUUGUUGGGGGUUUGUCCAGUCGAGUUCUGGUUUGACCGGUUCACUAACCGUUAGCAUUUAAUGCAUGAUAGGUGAUCAUUGGGCCUUGACCAUCCCUCGACCAGUACUCAACCGGAUAAAGUUCAACCUUAAUCAAUCGAAUAAGCAUUCUAGAAUAGAGAGAAGGUUUUUGCACCUUUCAAUCAGUUGAGUUGAACAAAUAGACGGAUUCCUUAUCCAGUUCAACCGGUUGAGCCAUUUUUGGCUCAACAAUCAUCAUUUUCAACUUAAAACCUUUUAAACAAGUUUAGAAAGCAUUUGACACAAGGAUUUAGUUGAAAACAUUAAAUCAUCCUAUUUUUAAAAGAUUUAAAACAAAAUACCUCUUGAAUGAUUUUGGUGUAUAAGUAAAUAAUGUAAUGCAUGAAAAACCCAGUGCGCCAACAACCUUACAAAGAGAUCUUAUGAGGCUUAGGUAUUGAAAAACACUUCUCUUUAAGGCAGACAACAUCGUGUGAAUACCAAAGGGGAACUCUACGUUCCUAGGGAAAGAUGCCUCGUCAGUACGUCUUGAGGUUGUUCACUAACUUCGGGGUUACCGGCUUUGAGAGGAGCCCUUUGAUGACAUUUGGGCAUGCAACUCUUCAUUUUCUUCCUUGAUUCGCCUUGUUUGGUGGAUCAAAGAUUGCAUAUGCCAGUCAUUUUUGCACUAGGUUCUCUCCAUGCUUUCACGCCAGCCAAAGUAGCUUUCGUUACCCAUAGUUGAGGAUCGGCUUCUAAAGGGUACUAACAUCCUUAGUCAUUCCCACAGAUGACACCAAUGUUGGUUCUGAGUCGGCUGAAGUCAAAUUCAUCCAACUUAACGGAAGUUUGACAACCUUCCUCCAUUUUUUGUGCCUCUUAGAGAAUCCACCUAGCAGUAAUGAGAUUGGGCGAACUCCUUUCUUGCACAAAAGAAUGUUCAGAUGAGUACUUCGGGUACGCCCUUCGAAGCUUAAGUGAGGCAAAAAUAGCUCAAACUACUUAAUGAGAGAGAGUGGAUAGGUGAAUAUGUGCCUACCUUGUUCGUGCUUUUUGAGGGGUUUAUAUAAUGUUGAUGAGAAUGCCACUAUAGUGCUUACUAGACACUUUAACUUUCUUCUAUAAUGAUGAUUGUCUUGCAGGCGGUUGGGCAAUCAUCAAAAUUUUGGGUGGCUGAUAGGUGCCAUCAACUAACGUGCCAUGAUCUUAGACCAUGCAGUAACCUGUUCCCUCAGUCUGUUGAUGGCCUAAGGUUAUGUGCAACAAUUAAUUGACAUGGACUUGAGGGCUAGAAGAGGUCCCAUCGGCCGUUCACAUGUCAAGUGUGAAUGAUCACUCAUGCUAGUGGGUCUUGAAGAUUUGACUAGACAACCUUACCUAUUUGGGAGGUCCAACCUCCCAUUGCCGUUGUUUUGGCCUUAUAGGAGAAAAGGGCUUUCUCAUGUAUGGUGCUAGAGGGACUAGUCGUGAUCCAGAUGAGUUGCAUACCCAUGCUAGAUGGUCGAAGUGUCCGGGUUGGAAAUGGAGGGAAGCCUCCCACAAAUAUGAGGGAGCCUUAUGAAAACGGAUCCUUAGGGCUUAAGAAGGGGUUUUCAAUUUUAAGGUUUGCCUUUUCACCCAAGGAUGUGAAUGGGAAGAUGAGGCGAAGUUAAAAGAUUGGUGAAGCAAAGUGAGGGCAAGGUAGGGUUUGAAUAAAGGAAAGUAUACACUAUUAAUGAAGAUGAUAAUCUCUAGAAAGAAAAACUAAGGUAAACUAGGGCUUUAAUAAUAAUUUUCAAUCUACACUAGUGAAGAGGAUAUCUUCGAAAACCAAAGUUAGGGCUUCAAUAACGAAUUUCAAUCUACAAUGGUGAAGACAAUAAUCUUCGAAAACCAAAUCUAUAAUGAUGAAGAUGAUUGAAAACUAAAUCUAUACUAGUGAAGACGAUUGGAAAGCAAAUCUACACUGGUGAAGACAAUGAAACCAAAUGUAGGUCUUCUAAACUAAACGCUUUUAAGGAUUUUCCUUUUUUUUUUCCUUUGUUUUCAAGAAAGGCAAACUCUUUAGAAAACUAAAAAAACUAAUGCAUUCUUAGAUCCAGAUCACUAUUUCCAACAUGGUAUUUGGAUUGCCAGCUUGCAUUUUUUAUUUUUUUAUUUUUUUAAUAGUCAUUGGCAUUUUAGGGAUUAUUGAAGGAUAAUAUCAUUCAGCUCAAUUUCCCAAAUUAGUUAGGUCUUACACUCAAAUGUGAAACUUAUAUGGAUGUUAGGCCAAUUAUCAAACUCAUCUGCCCUAAAACAUAAUUUCCCUUUUUUAAAAUAGUUGUUAAACAUCUAUCCCAAACACGUUUAACCCUUUGAAUUGCUUGUAUGUUAACCUUGUUUCCUUUUCUUCAUGCAACAUGGCUUAUUGAUGGUUGCAUUGAAUCAUUAUCAUUCACCAAUUCCAUGCAACUAUGGACUACAUUUCAAAUCCCUCGAACAUAAAUGGUAAUUCCAAAACAACUCAAGUAUAAUCUUUUCAACCCUUUCAAAUGAUUUAAUUAAUUGAUUUUUGAAUAUAUUCAUAUAUUUUUUUGAGCAAUUUUUAGGCAUAUAACAUAAAUCUCUUUUUUAUAUAUAUAUAAAAGGUUUUAUAUUUUAUAUUACAAUUUCCUUUUGUUUUUUCAUCUAAAAAACAAAACAUAAAACCUUAAUAAACGAGUUUUGUCACAAUCCCUUAACAAGUAAUCUAUUUUUUAAAUUACUUUAACAUUUUUAGAUAUAUUGAUUCAAUCUAAUUUACUUUUAAUAUUUUUUAUAAAAUAUUUUUACUUUAUAUGACUAUAAAUUAAUUACUAUUGAUUGCAUAUUAUAGAAUAUAUAUUCUAAAAUAUAUCUUAUUGACAAUAUAAUCAUAAGAUGUUAUAUCCAUAUCCUAACAUAUUAUAUACUUUUAUUUUGUGCAAUUAGCAACAUGGUGGGAAGUGGCAAGCAGCUUAACGGAAAUGUCAUGUGCCAAUGUGCCAUGCGUGUCCCUUCCCUUAGUGAGUCUGAACUGCUCCAACAUUUCCGACAUGUUAUUUUUUACUUAGCUCUUAAGUAUUUUCGUCUCGUUUUCGUUAACCCCAUCACAUUUCGCCACAUGGAUCUAAGCCUCAUGGUCCUUUCGUUCGUACAAUGAAUGUUCCCCCAAUUCCUUAUCUACACUAAAACUCCAUACUCGCCAUCUACUCAACCACUUCUCUACUCUAGAGUUUGGGUCCUUUAUCUCUGCACGUGUCUAUGGCUUUUCACCCCAACAAGUAUGGCAUUACAAGGGCAAUAUCGUCAUUAAAGACCCAAAAGGGAAACCAAUGGCAUUAUCUUCCUUUUGGUCUAUUCUAUUUAUAUUGUAAGUUAUUCGUGAUGACUUCUCCCAUAAAAGCUAAAAACCACUCCAAUAGAGCACACUUCACUUCUUCAUUUUUUUUUUUCCAGAUAAGCUCAGAAAGCCCAGCUCAUCCCUCAACUCCCCGAUGGGUUUGAUGAAUGUUCUUAAAUUCUCAACUGCAUGCUUUGAUCUUCUUAUCUGGUAUAUUGUCCACGCAUUUUCUUGUCAUUGGAAAAUUUUGGAAAAUGAAAUGGAAUUCUAUGUUUGAUGACAAAACUGGGAUUUGCUUUGAUUUCUCCAUGUUGGUUUUAUCCCUUUUGUUUGAAUUGUCCACAUUCUUGUCAUUGGUUGUUAGUUAUUUGUUUGGAUUUCUACUUGUAGGCCUCUGUUUGCACUGGGUUAUCCUCUAUAAAUCUUGGUCUUACACACCAAGAUAUGAUGAUUCAUUUACUCUUUUCUUGUUCUAUGAAUUCUUAGUUCUGUUACAUUUAUUGGGUUGGAAAACUGAAAAAGGAAAGGAUUAUUCGUUAUUAUCAUAAUAAUCAUCAACGUCAUCUCAAUUAUUCACAGAUGUGCAUCAAUUCAGGUAAUUGAGACUAACUCGAUCUCAGACAUUCAGAAGUUGGUGGCAUAUUGGGUUCUAUUUUCCUUGAUUUCACUUUUUGAUCGUACUUUUUCCAAGCUCCUUGAAUGGUAAUUUUGUUCAACUUCAUUCCAUCAUAUGUGGCUCUAUUUGUUUCAUUUCUUUGCCCUUCAGGAAUUUGGAGUUGCCUUUUUUAGUUUUCUUCCCUGUGAAAAUAAUCGAGAUGUUUAAUGUUCCAAGCCUCCAUGUAUUUUAUUUUCCUUCAUUUCUCUGCUUUGAUAAAUCCCCAUGAUUUGAUCAGCAAAAAGGCUAUAACAUUUGACAAAGAAAUGCUUUAUUUUGGUUUUUUAAGUACAACAAUUUUCAUUUGGAGAAAUGGUCUAAAGGGUAUCGGUGUUUGGAUGAAUCAUGGAAUUUUCUCGCUAAUUUGGGAUUUAUUCUCAAUUUCAAUAUCAUUGUGGAUAUUUCAAAAAUUAAUGAAAUAUAUAUGAUGGAAUGUGAUUUUCUUGUUUAAGAAAAGUUUUUCUUUAAAAAUUUAGGUAACCCUGACCUACCUUAUUGUGCUACUCGAAACACAAAACAAAAGUACAAGUAAUUUAGUAACUAAAUUGCACACUUUUUGAUAGUUCAAGGAAGUGGUGUUAGCUUUGGAAAUAAGAUGGAUCUACUAGUUUUUAUUUCUCAUCUUUAUAGGGAACUUUCCAUAAUAUAGCUUAUAAAUACCAUAAUCACAGUGAUGAAUAAUUGUCUUGUUUGAAAGCAUGGUUGCACUUAUUUGCAUGGAAUUUGUCUGCGUUGAAAUUAAAUUAAGCUUUAUGCAUCAUUUGGAUGCUGAGAAACAAAUGAAAAUAGAAAAUUCAAAAUUUGACAAGUUUGUGUAGGGAAAUUGGAUCUAAUCUCUUAAUCGAAGCUUAAUUAGGGCAAAUGUUGAUCCUCUUUGGACCUAUUGAAAGCUCUAAUCUGUGCACAAUUCUAAUGUUUUUGUUUCCUUAAUUUCUUUUUCAACUUUUCAACAAAGCAUCAAUUUGCUAUAAUAAAUGAGAACCAACUUGACGAUGAGAAAAAUGACUGGUGAUGAUGUCAUAGAGAAUCGCAGAUGAGAACAACCAAAAAUACUAGGAUUGGUACCACUGAUGGUAAUGAAGAAAACACAAAAAUGGUGCAAAUGGUGAACAGGAAACUCAAAAUGGAAUGGGAAAAGAAACCUAAACAAUAGUCUCCUAUAUAAAGCACACAACAUGUACAUCGAGGCAUCUGAAAGGACACGCUGCCUGAGAAGUCACUCUAAUUGAUGUGACUCCUCAUGACGUGGGUGGUGGACAUAUGUCCCAUGGUGCCAAAAAUUUCAAACACUCAAGCAACCGAAUACUUUCACUUAGUCAUUUAAAGCCUAGCUAGACUCAAUUGCAAGAAUUAAGGGCAUUGUGGGAUGCUCACCACCGUCUAUCAUGGUCCUCAAACACUGUCUGGUGUGAGACAUAUUGGCACAAGAGCCAUGUAGCUUCUCUAUCCACCCCAAGAUACUCCUAGGGUAGCAAACGAACACAAUCCGACCAAACACUAUGCAUUCCUACCCUACAAGCAUUAAUUUCAAUGAGCAAUAAGUGUAUUAACACAUUAAUGAAUGCAACCGUUAUAACGCUAAAACGCCAUACUUUAAGGUUCAUCAAGACACAACAACCAUUAUGGGCCGACAAUUAUUGGCGUUAAAUAUGGUAAUGCGCAAUCAAAGGCUCAAUUAAGGCCCUUUAGAAGACGUUACUAUUGGGCAAAGAUAAAUAACCAUUUUUUACCACAAGAAAGUCUGAUGCCAUUUUUUUCACAAAAACUUUUGCUUAAGUCUUCCAUCUCUAACCUAAGCUUUGAAGGGGUGUACUUGGAAAACCUAUCCGAACAUUCCUUUAUGUAGGUGCAAUCAUCGUUUAUGUCACGCGAAGGCUAGUCAAAGACCUUUAUUGGUCGUGCACCAAUAAAUCUAUUUAGUAUAUCUCAUUUAUCCGUUCAAGUGAGAUGAAGGAGUGACCUAAAGAUAGAUUGGAAACAUCAUAGUUUCUUAUAUUGGUAAGGCAGCAACAACCUCGGCUAGUGCAUCAACCUGCUCGUUUUCCUCUAGGGGUACGCGUUUGAUAAACCAUUCAUUCAAUUUUUCUGUUCAAGUGUACCAAAGAGAGGUAAUGAGCCAUGCAUUCAUCUCAAGCUUCAUAUUUUAGUUAGAUUUGUUCACCCACUAGUUGUGAAUUGCUUUUGAUUUCUACUUUCAUGGUUGUGAGAGCUAAGGCUAGAUCGUCUCAUAAGAAUUGCUUCAUAUUUUGCCUCAAUAUUAGAUACUGGAAAGUUGAGACAGACGACUUGUUCAAUUUGCUCUCCUGUAAGGAAUUGUUGUGUUAGUCCUAUCCUAGCUUCUGAUGUUCUAGAGGCUUCGUCUACAUGGAGAACACGCCAUUGUUCUUCAUUGUUAGACCUUGUCCAUUUUUGGGGUGGUUCGACUAUGAAAUCAAUGAGAACUUGCUAUUUGAGAUACUAAUGAGGUUUGUACCGUAUGUAAUAUUCACUCAAUUUGAUUGCCCAAUUCACCAUUCGACUAGAUAGAUUUAGCUUGUGCAACGUGACCCACAACGGUUGAUUUGUCAAGACCGUUAUUUGGUGCGCCUGAAAAUAUGGACAAAGCUUCUUGGCAGCGAUCCGUAAGUUCAGAGCCAUUUGUUCCACUUAAGAAUAUCGUGUUUUUGUGUCAAUCAUAGCUUUUCUCACAUAGUAAAUAAGUCUUUGUUCAUUACUCUAAUUGUGUGGAAACAAUAUGACAUUGACAGCAAAGUUUGACACAACCAGGUACAUGUAUAACUCUUCUCUAGCUUCAAGACUACUUAAGAUUGGUGGCUUCGUAAGAUACUGUUUGAUGUCUUUAAAGGCAUGCUCACACUCAUCCAUCUAACUAGACAUCUUUGCUCCCUAGAGUUUGCUCAAGAAAGGUCUGAGCUUAUUUAUGAAGCGUGUUAUGAACCAACCUAAGGUGAUUAGACACCCAGUUAGACGUUGCACUUCCUUCUUGCUAGUAGGAGCAGGGAUUUCUAACACUACUUUCACUUGAGCCAGAUCGACUUCAAUACCCCCUUUGAGUCACCAUGAACACAAGAAACUUCCACUCACUUACUCUAAAUGCAUAUUUUAUUGGAUUAAGCUUCAUGUCAUACCUGCACAUUAAACUGAAUGCUUCUUCCAAAUGGAGGAGCUUCUUGGAACGAGUUAUUCUCUUAAUGACAAUGUCAUCGAUAUAGACUUCCAACGUUCGACCUAUCAAGGGCUUAAAAAUAUGGGUCAUCAACUGUUGGUACGUAGCUCCAAUGUUCAUUAACCCAAGCGACAUGAUCUUGUAAAAGUACAACUCCUUAUGUGUAAUAAAUGUCAUCUUCUCUUUGUCAUGUGGAAACAUUGGUAUCUGGUGGUAUCCAAAAGAAGCAUCAAGAAAAGACAACAUUCCAUGCCUGGUUGUGGCAUCGACUAUCUAAUCUAUCUAGAGCAAUGGGAAGCUAUCUUUCAAGCAGACUUCAUUCAUAUCCACGUAGUCUGCGCACACCUGCCAUUUUUCUCCUUUCUUGGUACCACUACCACAUUUGUUAACUAGUCCAAGUAGGUCACCUCCUUGAUAAAUCUUCCUUUUAAUAGCUUCUCAACUUCUAUCUAGAUAAUUUUUUGAUGAUCCAACUAGAAACGUCAGACUUUAUAUUGUAUGGGUCGUGCUGUAGGAAGAAGGUUCAACUUAUGAGAGCUCACCGCUAGGUCUAUUCCAAGCAUUUCCGAAUGAAUCCACACGAGGAUAUCCUUGUUUUUACAAAGCAUUUCACCAACAUUACCACAUUCAUCCCUAGUUAGCAAAAAAUUAGCGUAAGUCAUCUGCUUAUUAUUUUUCGACAAAGAUAGCUAUUGUAAUAGGCUGAUUGCCAAUGAGUCUCUAUCCUCUAGUUUUCCUUCGACCUAAUUCUAUAAUUGUUAUUAGCUCUCUCUUGAUGAUUUGAGUUCAUCUUUAGUUGGGCCUGAACUCCAUCGCCACUUAGUAACACUACUAGGUGGCUAAUUGGAUUCCAUGUGGAUCCACUUACCCAAAUUCUGUCAGGUAGCUCACCAUCUUAUGAUAGGUGGAUGGAAUAACUUUCAUCUUAUGUAGGUACGACAACCUUAUGAUGGUGUUGUACGACGGUAAAUCCUCUACUAUAGAAAAUCAUACGUUGAGAGUAGGCGGGUUGGCUUGGACAAGAAGUACCACGUCGCAUAGUGAUAUUGUGGCAACCCUAUUAAACCCAAACAAAAGUCGAACUAGAUUUUCUAAGGCAGAUGACGAACAUCCCAUUUUCCUGUAGGUUGACAUAUGCAAUAAAUUGGAAUGAUCAUUUUAGGAAGGAUCACUUGAUUAAUGUUAAUUGAAGGGAAAGUGAUUGGGUCAUUGACUGGUCGGGCACUUUCGACAGUAAAUGUGCACUGAACUGCACUUACUCUUUCCCUCCCUGUAGUCGCACAGAGCAUUCGUCUCCUUUGUUGUUUGGAGUGAUAUUUGUCAUCUACUAUUUCCCCAUGGAUAUAGUUAAUCACUACUCGAUGUGUUGUGGGAGAGUCAGGAACUCACUCUGACACUUCACGUGUCAUUUCUUUAUGUCCACCAGUUGCUCAGACAUACAACUUGAGAUGUCCGGUAAUGAUUAGUUUCUCCACCAAGUAGUGCAAAUUUUUGCACUCUUCUGUGGUGUGCCCAUGCUCCUUAUGAUAGAAUCAUCGCAAUCCUCGAUCAUGCUUGGACGAAUCAGUUUUGAUGGGCUCUAGCCACUUGAACUCGAGCAGCUCUCAAAUCAAGAGGAGAAUUCUAUCAUAAAAAAUGGUCAACGGGGUGAGCCUAGGCGAUUAUCAUUGUUGUUGUCUUUCUUGUCCUUGAUUAGUCUAUCUAGACUGGCUUGAGGGCUUUAAGCUCUUAGCCUUCUUUUUUAAUUGCUCGGUUUAUAACCAGGAUUUGUUGAGAGGUUACCUAAACAUCCUCCUCAAGCAUGACAUGUUUGCCCACUCGUCUAAAUAGGUCAUUCAUUGUAGUGGGCAACUUUUUGGCCAUGGACUUGAAGAAUUGAGUGCUUGGACUGAUGAUCCAUUUGAAGAUCUGCAGGAUAGCAUCCAUGUUGUAAGAUUCCAUCUAGAACACCGCUUGUCUGAAUCACUUCAUGAAGUCCCUUAGCGAUUCAUUCUCCUACAUCUGAAUGUUCUAUAAGGUGCUUAUAUUCUGCUUUUGGCGAGCAAAACAUAAAUAAUGGCCCACAAAGGCCUCUAAAACAUCUGUCAUCUGUUGUUGGAAGUGCAUCAGGUGAACAAAAGAGUCACCAUCCCAUAGUAAAUAGUAAAUUUGGGCACCGGAAACCCCUGGGCAGCUCAUAACUAAUGAUAUGUGGGUCAAACGACAUGAAGAGCAUGUCAUCCAAUCAUCUACUUAUGGAGUCAAGAGGGGCUUUUGUCAAUGGGUUAUUUGUCGAUUGUAGUUCUAGUAUUGAACAUUAAGGCAGACGGCUUGGUGAUGCCUCAUCGUUUGAUUGGCCUAAUUGUGCUUUCAAGGCCUCCAAUAUGCAUGGCGAUGCUAGUGUUCUUCUCUCCUGAUACCCAAGAUAGGCUUUCAGGGCAUCUGAGAGACGUAAGCCCCAUUCUUAACCCAUUUUCCAUUUUUCUCCAAUAGAGCUUGCAACCUCUUUCGCUUGAGUUCGAUCGACUACUGAAUGCACUAGUUCAAGUAAUGUUAGCGAACUGCUAGUAGACAAUCCCUCAUCCACUGUUUGUAGAGACGACUUAGUGUAUCAUUGAAGAACUUUCAUUGUUUGGCUUCAAACUACUCUUGAAGUCGUCUAUUGGUUGGAGGUACGAUGACUUUUUUAUCAGCACCCCAUAGCCACUUGUGCUCGUAGCUCUUGGUUCUCUUGCUGUAGUUGUUCUGCCUGUUGGACAGGGACUACAUAGGUUAUUCAUAUUCUUCUUGCUUUUUUUCUAUCUUUCCUUGCCAAGCUUGGAAUCGCUCGUCAACAUUUGCAGAAUGAGUUGCAGGAGGCGUGUUAACCAUCGUGUUUUUUAGGCAUUUGUGGUUGAUUCCCAUAGACAAUGCCAAUGUUGGUGCACGACCAGUAAAAAAAGGUGUUUGGCUAGUCUCCAUGUAACAUAGAUGACGAUUGCACCUGCACAAAGGAAUGUCUGAAUGGGUUUUUCAGGUACACCUUUCCAAAGCUUAGGUCAGAAAUGGAAGACUUAAGCAAGAGUUUUUGUGGAAAAAUUGGUAGCAUACUUUUCUUGUGGUUAAGAAUAACUAUUUAUCUUUGUCCAACUAUAAUAUCUUCUCAGAUGCCUUAAUUGAGCCUUUGAUUGUGCAUUAUCAUCUUUAAUGUCAAUGAUAGCCAACCCAUAAUGGUUGUUGUGUCUUGAUGAACCUUAAAGGUUGGCGUUUUAACCUCAUAAUGAUUGCAUCCAUCAAUGCGUUAAUGCACUAAUUGCCUAUUGCAAUUAAUGCUUGUUGGGCAAGAAUGCAUAGUGCCCGAUUAGAUUGUGUUUGUUUGGUACCCUAAGAGUACCCUGGGGUGGACAAAAAAGCCACAUGGCUCUUGUUCUAACAUGUCUCGACUAGACAGUGUUUGAGGAUCAUGUUAGAUGGUGAUGAGCAUCCCACAGUGAAGACGUAUGAUGAAAGCAAAGGUAGGGCUUCUAAACCAAACGCUUUUAGGGAUUUUUUUUUUUUUUUCAACAAAGUUGACCUCUUCAAGGAAAAAAAAAAAGGUUAAAAAAACUAUUGCUUUUUUGGAUCCAAAUCACCAUUUCCAAUGUGAUAUUUGGAUUUCCACCAUGUAUUUUUUUUUUUUUUAACAGUCAAGGACAUUUUAUGGAUUAUUGAAAGAUAAUAUCUUUCAACUUAAUUUCCUACAUUAAUUAAGUCUUAGGCUCAAAUGUGAAACUUAAGUGGUUGUUAGGCCAUCAAACCCAUCUGCCCUAAAGUAUAAUUUCCCAUUUUCAAAAUAUAUAGUUGUUAAACAUCUAUCCCAAACUAUUGUAACCCUUUGAAGUGCUUGGUAUGUUAACCUUGUUUCCUUUUCCUUAUGCAACAUGGCUAAUUGAUUGUUGCAUUGAAUCAUUAUCAUUCACCAAAUCCAUUCAACUAUGGACUUACCUUUCAAAUCCCUCUAACAAAAAUGGUAAUUCCAAAACAACUCAAGUCUAAUGUUCUCAACUCUUUCAAAUGAUUUAAUUAAUUGGUGUUUGAAUAUACCUCUUAUAUUUUUUUAGAGCAAUUUUUAGGCACAUAACAUAAAUUUCUAAUUUUUUUUUAGAAAAGGUUUUAUAUUUUAUAUUUUAUAUUACAACUUCCCCUUUUUUUUCCAUCUAAAAAACAAAACAUAAAACCUUAAUAACCGAGUUUUGUCACAAACCCUUAACAAAUAAUCUAUUUUCCAAAAAUUACUUUAACAUCUUUAAACAUAUUGAUUUAGUAUACUUUACUUUUAAUAUUUUUUGAAAAAUAUUUUUAUUUUAUAUGAUUAUUAAUUAAUUAAGAUUGAUUGGGUAUGGUAGAAUAUAUAUUCCAAAAUACAUCGUAUUGAGAACAAUAUCACAAGAUAUUAUAUCCAUAUCUUAACAUAUUAUAUACUUUUAUUUUGUGCAAUUAGCAAUUGGACGGAAGGUAGGGAGCCGGCUUAAUGGAAAUGUCGCAUCUCACGUGUGUCCCUUCCCUUACCAAGUCUCAACAAAGGAUGAAAAUAUCGGUAAUCACGGAUAUAUCGGUACUUCGAUUUUACGGAUAUAUUAGAUAUAUCAGAGAUAUAUUGACGGAUAUUUUGGAAAAAAAUAUCGAUAAGCCUAAAAUUGAUCAAAAUUUAUAAAAAUAUAAAAAAAACUUCAUAAAAAUGUAAUUAAAAGAAGGUCGUAUAAGUUACUCAUGUUGAUCAUGUGAUAUAUCACGAGAUAUAAUCGAUUUUUGGGAAUUUCUCACGAAAAUAUCGCGACAUUUCUUCCUUGUCUCGACUGCUCCAAGAUUUCCUAUACGCCCUUCUUCGCUUAGCUCUUAAGUCUUUUCUUCUCCUCUUCCUCAAACCCAUCACAUUUCGCCGCGUGGAGCUAAGUCUCAAGGUCCUUUUGUUCGUACGAUGUAUGUUCCCCCAAUUCCUCAUCUACCUUGAAACUCCAUACUCGCCAUCUACUCAACCACUUCUCUACUCUAGAGUCUGGAUGCUUUAUCUCCGCGAGUGUCGAUGGCUCUUCACCCCAGCGAGUAUGGAAUUACAAGGGCAAUAUCGUCAUUAAAGACACAACAGGCAAACCAAUGGCAUUGUCUUCCUUUUGGUCUAUUUUAUUUAUGCUGUAAGUAUUCGUGCUUGACUUCUCCCGCGUCUCUUAUAAAAACUAAAGAAAACCACUCCAACAGAGCACACUUCAAGAAUCUUCUUUUUUUUUUUCUUUCCUCUUUCUCUUUACAUAUAUACUGAGAAAGCCCAGCUCAUCCCUCAAUUCCCAGAUGGGUUUUAUGAAUGUUCUCAAGUUCUCAGCUGCAUGCUUUGAUAUUCUUGCCUGGUAUGUUGUCCACGCAUUUUCUCGCCAUUGGAAAUUUUUGGAAAAUGAAGUGGAAUUCUCUGUUUGAGGACAAACAUGGGAUUUUCUUUGAUUUCUCCCUGUUGGUUUUAUCUAUAUUCUUUGGAUUACCCACAUUCUUGUCAUUGAUUGUUAGUCAUUUGUUUGGAUUUCUACUUGCAGGCCUCUAUUUGCACUGGGUUAUCCUCUGUAAGUCUUGGUCUUACACCUCAAGAUAUGAUGAUUCAUUUACUCUUUUCUUGUUCUACGAAUAGUUCAGUUACAUUUAUUGUGUUGGGAAACUGAAAAGGGAAAGGAUUAUUCUUUAUUAUCGUAAUAAUCAUCAACAUCAUCUCGGUUCUUCACAGAUGUUCUUCAAUUCGGGCAAUUGAGACUAACUCAAUCUCAGACUUUCGGAAGUUGGUGGCGUAUUGGGUUCUAUUUUCCUUGAUUUCACUCUUUGAUCAUGCUUUUUCCAAGCUCCUUGAAUGGUAAUUUUGCUCAACUGCGUUCCACUAUAUGUGACUCUGUUUGUUUCAUUUCUUUGCCCUUAAGGAAUUUGGAGUUGCUUUUUUCAGUUUUCUUUCCUAUGAAAAUAAUCGAGAUGUUUAAUGUUCCAGGCCUCCAUGUAUUUUAUAUUCCUUCAUUUCUCUGCUUUGACAAAUGCUCACAAUCUGAUCAGCAGAAAGGUUAUAACAUUUGAAAAAGAAGUGGUUUAUUUUUGUUUUUUUUAAGUACAAUAAUUUUCGUUUGGAUAAAUGGUCUGAAGGGUGUUUGUGUUUGGCUGAGUUCAUGGAAUUUUCAAGCUAAUUUGGGAUUUAUUCUCAAUUUCAAGAUCAUUGUGGAUAUGUCAGAAAUUAAUGAAAUAUAAAUGGUGGAAUGUGAUUUUCUUGUUUAAGAAAAGUUUUUCUUUGAAAAUGCGGGUGCACCAGACCUACCUUAUUGNNNNNNNNNNNNNNNNNNNNNNNNNNNNNNNNNNNNNNNNNNNNNNNNNNNAUCAGAUUCAACUGUGAUAGCCCGGAAUUUAAUUCAGUAUUCGACUCUUCUGGGAACAUGUUGGUUAUGGUUUCUCUCUCACUGUCCUCUUCUUUACACAUGACUUUUCAGUUGAGGAGCACAAAGCCUAAUGUUGAAGUGAAAGAGAUCAAAGCACCUGCAGCACCGGAGAAAAAAGGGGAACAGGUAAGUACUCUAAUGUGGCUAUUUAAUUUCUAUGGAGGCAGAUCCCCAGAGAAAUGCUGUUCAUGUAAAUUACUGAUGCAUUUGAUUCAAUGGCCACGGUUUUAAAAGAAAAACCACUUUAUGUAUGUUUCUGUGAAUGAGAGAACAAGUUUAUGGAUUAAAUGAUAUUUUUUAUGGUGAAAUAAUCAAUAAUUUUCAAAAUAAUAAUACAUUCCUGCAUGUUUUUGCAAUUCAUGAAUUCCUUUUAUGAUUGAUUCUUCUCACCUUUUUUCUCACCUCAGUGGAAGUGUGAAGAGCCUAAUGUUGCUCAAAAAGAGAUCCAAGUAGUCAAAGUAACAGAGAUAAAAAAUGGGGGGGAUGGAGCAAAGAGGGUAAGUUUUGCUUUUUAUUUAUAAAGUAGGCUGUCUUCACACAAGGAUUAUUAUUAUUAUUAUUGUUAUUAUUUUAAGACAUGAAUGUUGAAUGAUUUUGGAAUUGUCCUUGAAUCAUGUGAAGUGUGAAUGGUCUAAUGCUGCUAAGGAGGAGGUCAAAGUGACAGAAGUAACACAGAGAACAUUUGGUGGUACAGCACAGUGGGUAAGGUUUCAUGUCAUAUUUAAAUGGCUCCUCAUAUUUCACUAGGAUUAAUUUUGCCCCUACAAACUAUUUGGCUACAAGUUAAGACAGAGUUCCAGAUGCUGAUAAAGCUGAGACAUAAGUAAUGAACGAAUUUAGACACAUGCACAACUCUUGUGUGAAACACAAUGAGAGUGGAAAAUAGCUAAGUUGAAAAAUGGCCAAAUACUAUUUUGUAGUUCCCCCUACCACUUAAGUAAUUUUUGUCAUCCUUUGUGAAUGGAAAAUGCAGUCCCUUCAGUAAUUCCAUUAUAUUCAUGACUUGGUGAAGCAUAUAACCAUUAGUGUCUUACCCUAAGUCGACCUUUAAUGAUGAUCCAUUGAGAUGGGUCUGACUUUUGUCAACCCUCUUAUUCCCUUGAUCAUAGAGGUGAAACUUAGGGGGCUUAACCCACUUUUCAAUCUUAUUGGAUAUAUGGCACGUGGUAUCCUCUUCAUCUUGAAAGAGUGAAGUGGUCAUACUCUUUCCUCUGAGUCCAUUGUGGCCAUGCACUUCAGGCUCAUUGGGCUGAGUGAAAGGAUUCCCUUCUGCUUCAAAUCAUAGAGAGAUAUGCCAUGGUCAGCCUCUUUAAUUCAAGGGAUUGAAGUACUCAAAUCCAUUUCUCUGUAUCCAUCUUAGUUCUGCAUUCAUGUCUCAUGGUUAACCAAGAAGAUCCAGCCUCCAUCCAUGAGAUCAGCAUCUGCAGGUUUAUGACACCACCCUUCCUUUGCAUAGGAAAGGGAUCAUUAAGCCAUGUGUCGGAUGACAGAAGUCAUCAUUCAGGUUAUCUUGAGAACUAAGGAAGUUGGAAUUCUAAUUAUUGCAUAUGGUUCUUGAUGUUUAGCCAAUAUACUAUAGGAUUUUAAGCAUCAUGCUCACGUGCAUUGUGGUUGCUUAUCAGCUAUAUGGUUUGCCAAAAUGAGGGACUGAUUAUGGUCAUAAGUACCUUUUUCCCAUUAAUUUCUUGCAUGUGCUCUGCUGAGAUUAUGUUUUUGACAGUCCAAAUCAGGGCAAACCAACAAACAGCUUUAUGUUAACUUUUACAAACUGCCAUAUUUUCAGGUUAAACAAACAGAGAUAAAUCUUGGUGAAACUAGAAGUAAUACAACCUGUGCUGUGGAGAUAAAAGAAAGGGCAGCAGCACUGGUGGCUGCAGAAAUUGAGGCAUGUAGAGACGAUAGAACCCCCAAGAUACCUCUUCAUGAGAAAGUCCAGAAAGAGUGGGCUUGUGCUGUGUGCCAGUUCACAACCCAAACUGAAGCGACCUUCAAUUCCCACCUUCAAGGGAAGAGACAUCAGGCCAUUUCUGAGCAGCUGAGAGCCAAAAAUCAGGCAACCAAAACCAAUUGUUCCCCAUCUGCUUCAAUGGCCAAGAAAUCUGAUCAGUCCACCAAAGAGGAGCAACCGAAGUGUACUUCCAAUCUGAAUUCCAAAAACAAUGGAAUCUCAGCUGCUUCAACAGUGAAGAAACUUGAUGAGACCAAAGAUGAUGAGCAACAAAAGUCUGCAUCUAGCAAUGGACCGAACCAGAAGAAUAACAAAAAGCAAGAGGUACAGACCAAUGAGCAAGGCCGUCAGAAGAACUUAAGGCAAACUGGUGAUGGAAUGAAAGAGUUGAGAUCAUGGUGCAAUAUCUGUAAUGUAAGCUGCACAAGGGAGCUUGACCUGGCCUCGCAUCUCAAUGGAAGGAGGCACUUUGAUAGGAUAAAGCAGCUGUCUGAAUUAUGGUGCAGUAACUGCAAUGUAAGGUGCAACAGUGAGGUUGAUAUGGCCUCUCACCGAAAUGGGAGGAGGCACUUGGAGCAGCUGAAGGAACGGUUAGGAUUAUGGUGCAGUAUCUGUAGUGUGAGUUGCAACAGCAAGGUGGACAUGGAUUCUCACCUAAAUGGGAAGAUUCACUUGGAUCAGAUCAAGGACCAGUUAAGAUUAUGGUGUGGGGCAUGUAAUACAAC